UAGUGCAAGCUUAUAACCUAAUGGCUCAUGUCUUCCUUCUCUUCCUCUUAUUCUCUUACAUUAUAUCUACACAUAUUCAUGCCUGCAAACAAACUGAACGCAGCUCCCUCCUGUCCUUCGCCUCCACUUUAUCUUCUUCUCCUUUAAAUUGGACAUCCAUUGAUUGUUGUCGUUGGAAGGGAAUCACUUGUGAUCAAGAUGGUUGGGUCACCCAUUUGCUCUUGCCUUCCGAAGGGCUCAAAGGAGGUAUCUCUCCCUUUGCACUUGUAAAUCUCACCCACUUGAACCUUUCCCACAAUUCACUAUAUGGUUCACUUGAAACUCAGUUCUUCUUGUCUUUGAAUCAACUUGAGAUCCUAGAUUUGAGCUAUAACCGUCUUUCUGGAGAGUUACCACUUUCCCUACCAUCCAGCAGUAUCCGGACAGUUGAUUUGUCCAGCAAUCACUUCUAUGGUGCAAUUCCAUCUUCAUUCUUCCAACAAGCAAGCAACUUGACUAGUUUCAAUGUCAACAACAAUACCUUCACAGGGUAUGUCCCAUCCUCUAUUUGUCUCCAUUAUUCUCCCUCCCUAAGGCUACUGGAUUUUUCUUCCAAUUUAUUUAAUGGCUACCUUGCUCCUGGGUUAGGGAAGUGUUCUGAAUUGCAGGUUUUUCGUGCCAGUCACAAUAACCUCUCAGGAUUACUUCCAGAAGAUAUCUAUAAUGCUACUAAACUUGAAGAAAUUGCAUUGCCUUUCAAUUCACUACAUGGAGCCAUUAGUGAUAAAAUUGUCAACCUCACCAACCUUGCCAUCCUUGACCUCUCCUUUAAUCAUUUUGGGGGCGAGCUUCCUCUCAAUUUGGGGAAGCUCUCCAAGUUGAAGUUUGUGACCUUUGAUUUCAACAAUUUAGAAGGUGCUUUGCCUCCAUCUUUGAUGAAUUGCACAAACCUUGUAGAACUGCGUUUGGGGAACAACAACUUGGAAGGAGAUAUCUCCAUGCUUGAUUUCUCAAGACUGAGUCAACUUACUAAACUUGACCUAAGGCUCAAUAACUUCACUGGUACAAUUCCAGUAAGCCUUUACUCAUGUAGGUCCUUAAAAGCCAUUCGGUUCGCUAAAAACCAUCUAGAGGGACAAAUACAAGCUGAAAUUCUUUCAUUGAAAUCCUUGUCCUUCCUCUCGCUUGGUGGCAACCGAUUCACCAACCUCACAUGGGCAGUGAAGAUAUUGAUGAGUUUCAAAAGUCUUCACACACUCUCGCUUGCUGGUUGCUAUGAAGGUGAGGGAAUGCCAUCAGAUGAUGACAUGGUUGAUUUUGAUGGAUUCCAAAAUCUUCGGCUAUUGAAUUUGGCUGGUUCCGACCUCAAUGGUCAAAUACCUUUAUGGUUAUCAAAGCUCAAGAAUCUAGAGCUGUUGGAACUGGGUUUCAAUCAAAUCACUGGGCCAAUUCCAAGUUGGUUGGGGACUCUUCCUAGGCUGUUUUAUAUAAACUUGUCAAACAAUCGAAUUUCAGGUGAAUUUCCAAAGACACUUUGUAGACUACCAAGGUUGCUUUAUGGACCUAAUAUUGCAUCUCAAGCAGACCAAUAUGAAUUUGAAUUGCCUAUCUACGGCCGCAGCAGCAGCAUAAUCACAACUCAAACUUUUCCAACACAUAUAUUGGAUUUUUUUGCACCAACGAUAGUCUUAUCUAAGAAUAACAUUGUUGGUGAUAUACCUACUGAGAUCGGCCAAUUACAGCUUCUCCAGGAGUUGGAUCUUGACUCUAACAACUUCUCUGGCGUCAUUCCAGACCAACUAUCGAACUUGAAAAAUUUGGAGGUUUUGAACCUCUCCAUGAAUCUCUUGUCUGGAAUAAUCCCAUCGUCAUUGGCGAGCCUUAAUUUCUUAAAAGAAUUUAAUGUCUCAUACAAUAACCUCGAAGGAUCAAUACCAACAGGCACCCAGCUCCAAAGCUUCGAAGCUUCUGCGUUUGAGGGGAACCCAAAACUUUGUGGUGCGCCACUUCUAAAUAAGUGCGAACCAAAUAAGGGCAUUGAUGCAGAUAACAAGAACAACAAAGACGUGCACAACUGGCUCCAUCAACUUCCAUGGUUUUAUAUAUUUGCAGCAUUGGGGUUUAUAGUAGGAUUUUGGGGAGUUUGUGGUUUUUUAGUUAUUAACAAGACAUGGAGAUAUGCGUAUUUUUGAUUCAUAGACAAUCUACAAGAUAUGCUCCUCUAUGUGAUGAUAAUAGUCCCUCUCAAUAGGAUGAAAAGAAGGCUUAGAGGCUAGAUAUAUAUUAUUAAUGUUGUACUUAUAAUUUUGCAUUUUCAGUUUGCUUUCCCUUUUUUGUUUCUUUUUUUUUUUGGUGUGUGUGUUCUUCUUCAUUUCUUGUCAUGACAGAUUCACCUGCAAAAAUUUCCACAUAAAAACGCUGCAUUGUCAACAAAUGGACCUCUUCCAUAAAGUGAGAGGACCGUCACCCACACUGCAUCACCCUAGACUAUCUAUCCUUUUUAUUUCAUUGCUUAGAUUCUAUUUCCCGAAGUGCUAGGAAAUGGUUAUCCUUUUCUCUCGGCAUGCUUGCCAUGUGGCAUCAUCCAGAAUCAUGUAUAAGUAUCUAAUAGCUGGUACAGAGAGGGGCCACGAAUGCCUUUCCUUUAAUUGCUUCUUUGUUUUCCUUUUCUGAAUCUGCGAACCUAUCAUGAAGCCCUGAAAGAAAACAAAUGCAAAUAACUACCCAGAAUUUAAAAUCAACCAUACAUUUAAAAAGAAUGAAGAAGAAGAAAACUCUCUCUCUCAAAAACCAAAGACUUAAAAUCGAAAUGAAAAUUCAUGACUUAUAGCCAGUGUCGACAAAAUAAAGCAGAUUGAGGAGCUUUGGGGCUGGGAGAGCGUGCUAAUUCUUCUCCACUCAUUUCUCCUCUUCUCUUCUUCAAAUUCUUCUGUGCAAGAAGUUAAGAACUGAGAAAGAUCACGACCUGUUUUUGGUCCGAAACUGAAAUGGGUCGGAUCAUAUUAAACUCGGCCAAAACCCAAUACCUUAUGGCGCUCCAAUCAAGUGAGAAUACUAUAUAAGGAUCAAUCUCAACCUUCCAAUAUCAUUUGAAUGGCUGAAGAGAAAUUGCAAGCUUACCGUAGAAAUGGGUACGCUGCACUUACCUCUUAGACCACGUGUCCUGGCUCUCCUUUUCCAAUAGGGCUUCUUCCUUCCUUCCUCUGUUGAAACGAGAAAUUAUAAAGUGAUACUGUAUCACCACGUCAGCUGGUGAUACUCCCAUUCAAAAUCUGUCACAUGUAUUUUUUAAAAAAAAUUAAAAUAUAUUUUACAACUCAACUUUGGCUUACAACUUUACCCUUCAACUUUAAUGACCCUAACCCUUCCCCACUCCGGCUUCCCUGUGCUAUGCCCCUGCUAUCGACGCCACACAACCCUCUUCCCUUCCCCCUCUCCGCCAACCACCCCGGCCUUCCCUACCCCCACAAUAUUCCCACCCCCUCUCUCUUCCUCUCAUUUUCGGUUAAUAAAAAAAGCCAAAAAUCUUAAAAAUAUGUGCAAACCCAUUAAACAUGAAACCAUAAACCUUAAAUAAAUAAAAACCACUAGUGAAAGAAGGGAAGAUUGACGUUAUGGGCAACCAAGAAUUAAUUGUGUUAUAGAGCAAGUCAUUGGGGCGGGGCUUGAUGAAGGAAAUCCGCCAAAAAUCUCCCCAUUCUACAUCAGAUUCUUCUUCUUCCUCACCAUCUUCAUUAUCAGCUUUCAUUCAAGGUCUUUUUAAGAGUAAGAAGUGAAAUUUUCAGAGAUUACCCAUCUUCUUUAGCUUCAAGGGUAUCUCCAAAGAUAAAAUGGUAGAGUUUGACUAGAUUUUGUUUAUGGGUUUUGAGUCAUCUGACAAUAGAAGUUCUCUAGAUUCAUUAACUAUGAAGACAGUGAAGGCUGGGGUAGGUGGUGAGAGAGAAGGGAAGACGUGUGGUGUUGCAAAUAGCAAGCAUAGCGUAGGGAAGAAGACGGUGGAUAGGGAAGACGGUGGGGAGGGGUUUGGGUGAUUAAAGUUGAAGGGUAAAGUUGGAAGCCAAAGUCCAGUUGUAAAAUAUAUUUUAUUUAUUUUAAAAAAAAUACACAUGGCAGAUUUUGAGUGGGAGUAUCACCAGCUGACGUGGUGAUACAGUAUCACUCUAUAAUUUCUCCAGAGAAACCCCAAAAUCUUUCUUCCUCCUAUUAAUUUCCACCCCAAAAUCUUACAACCCAGAAACUACCACAUUCUUCUCCCCUUCAUCUUCCUUCUUAUCUUCACCUUCUUCACUCCAACCUAUCAAAAUGUUUCAGUCUCUAGCCAAUACCACUCUCUCCAAAUCGAGGGUCUCAGCCCUCAUCCAAUGGUCCAGAGUCAAUUCUUCUUCCAAACUCAACUGGAUUUGUGUCAAGUCACCCCUUCCUCACACCACGACAACUUCAUCAGCUACAAGUUCCUCUCCUCCAGCCCUACUCAGAAAUCUGGGUUGGACUCCAUUUCCCUCCCCUUGGUCAACCUCCUAUCCAACUACGCCUUUUUGGAUCUUCCACUGGACCGAGUGAAACGUAAAGUUUAGCUCUUCCCAACAAUUUACUUUAUUUUUUUUUCUAUGCAUUGUUUAUGUUGUGACUUAGAGUGCAUUAGGUUGAAAUUUCUCAAAUUUUCGAUAGCUCUGAACAAGUUGUCGAGUUUUGUGAUUAAGAUUGGGCUCUUUCUGUUGACUAACUCCAUGUUUCACCUAAAUUUCGUCUCUUUGAAAAUUCAAACCCUACAAGAAGCUGAGAAAUUGCAAUUGAACUGAGAUCUUUUUGAGAUGGGUAAUAUAUUGAGAGAUUCACCAAUAUACCCAAAAUAGGGGCUGAAAUUAUAUAUAAAAAAACCCCCCAAGAAAUGUACCGUAGAAACACACCCAAAAUCCAUUUACUACAUAUGAAAUGAGUGUUGAAGUUCCUAUAAAUUACAUGUUUGCCAUUGAUCAACUUAAAACAAGCUCAACACAAAAAAAUAAAAAUAAAAACCCAAAACAAGCCCAGCAAGCCUGAAGUACAUUGUUAAUAUCAUAUCAUAGAAGUACAUUAAUAAUACUAUGUCAUAGAAGUACAUUGUUAAUACCAUUUCAUAUAUAAAAAAAGGGAGAUUCACUAUUAUACCCAAUAUAGGAGCCCAAAUUAUAAAAAAAUCCUAUAUGAAAUGAACUUUAGAAACACACCCAGAGCCUAUUUACAACAUAACGAAAAGGCUUUUAACUUCUUUUAAAUUACAAAAUUGUCAUUGAUUUCUUAAAACAAACCAAACCCCAAAAUCUCAUAAAAAAAGCCCAAAACACUCAAUAAGCCAUCUUUAAAAAUCAAAAUUAAAUUCAAUAGGUCCAGCUGUCAUUUUUGGGUUUUUUUUUGUAUGUUUAUAAAAAUUAAAUGGUGUAGGGUUUACUUAUAGUUUUAGUGCUAAAAAUGGGUAUAUGACUAAAUAUCUCAACAACAAAAAAACUCAAUAAAACCCCUAAAAAAAAGCCCAGCAAGACAUCCAAUAUCCUUUGCAAAGACUACCUCCAAUUGUUCACAGUUUCACCAAAAACAAUCACAAAGGCAAAAGGAAAUACCUCUAUAAGAAAAAUAAAGAAAAAAAAGAAAAGAAAGUAUACUGUUAAUACUAGGGGUGGCAAUUUUCGAUACGACCCGUUACAUGACUCGAAACCCGCACGAAAAAAACACGACACAAACCCGCACGAUUAAAAAAUGGGUCAUUUUUGGGUCAACCCACUGCUGACCCGUUUAUAAACGAGUGGAUUUCGGGUCAACCCACCAACCCGCGAAAAUACCUGUUUAACCCGUUUAUUAAACGGGUUGUAUCACGGGUCAUGUCAACCGGUGUAAUACCUGUCAACCCGUGAAAAAAUGAAAGAAAAUUAACACUCCAAGACGCACUUGUGUUGUCAGCAUGCAGUGGAGUAGGAUGAAGUGGACUGAACCCAAGCUCUGUGAGGAGACCACGCAGCCAAAUGAUCUCGGAGCACGCAGCAGACAUGGCGCGAUACUCUGCCUCAGUGGAUGAUUUGGAGACGUGGUCUUGCUUCUUGCAUUUCCAAGAGAUAAGGGCAUCACCAAGAAACAUACACCAGCCAGUAGUAGAUCUCCUGGUGUCUGGGCAACCGGCCCAAUCAGCGUCACUAUAAGCCUGAAGCUGAAGAGAAGAACCUGUAGGGAAGAACAAGCCACGAUUAGGUGUGCCAAGAAUAUAGCGAAUGAUGCGGCGAACGGCAGAGAGAUGGUGAUGCCUCGGGGCUUGCAUGAACUUGCUGACAGUGUGAACAGCAUAAGAGAUGUCUGGUUGGGUGAUGGUUAGAUAGAUAAGACUACCAACCAGCUUCCGAUAGGUAGUAGGAUCCUCAAUGAAGCCUGAAUGUUUCUACUCGUUUAUAAACCAUCUCUUAGUGCUGUUCAAUUUGAUUGCAAUUCUUGCAGACUUGGCAAAAGUAAGACUCUGCCAUUUCCUAUUCACACACCCCAUGUAGUCCAACCUUUUGAUUUGAUACAUAGUGAUGUGUGGGGUAUGGCACCAGUCACUUCUCAUGCUAAUUACAAAUACUUCGUCACUUUUAUUGACGACUAUAGCCGUUUCACAUGGAUAUAUUUUCUACAUUCUAAAGAUGAAGUCUUUUCUGUUUUUAAGAUUUUUCAUGCAUAUAUUCAGACCCAAUUUUCGGCCCAUAUCAAAUUCCUUCGUUCUGACAAUGGGGGUGAGUAUAUGUCUCAUUUGUUUCAGGACUUCCUACAGACUCAUGGCAUCAUCUCUCAACGGUCUUGCCCUUCAACACCUCAACAAAAUGGGGUGGCUGAAAGGAAGAACGGUCACCUUCUUGAUGUUGUUCGCACUCUCCUGUUAGAGUCAUCUACGCCCUCUCGUUUUUGGUGUGAAGCUCUCUCCACUGCUGUCCAUCUCAUCAACAGGUUGCCUUCUCCCAUAUUGCACCACAACUCUCCUUUCACCAAGUUAUUUGGUCGCCCUCCAUCUUAUUCCAACCUUCAUACAUUUGGUUGUGUCUGUUAUGUUCAUCUUCCUGCACAUGAACGCACAAAACUCACGGCUCAAUCGAUCCAGUGUGCUUUCCUAGGAUAUUCAGUCCACCAGAAAGGUUUUCUUUGCUACGAUCCAAAUUUGCGACGCAUUCGAGUUUCUAGAAAUGUCAUCUUUCUAGAAAAUCAGUAUUUUUUUUCCCACGCAUCAGGACCCCGUUUCUCCUUCAUUUUCUGUUUUGCCUAUGUUUACUAACUCUUCUGCAGCUCCUGUUUUAAAUAUCUCUUCUCCAGCUCCAGUCCCUUCUUAGCCUCUCUUAGUGUAUCAACGACGCUCCUCCGCCACUUCCCAUCAACCUCCAGCACCUCCCCAGCCCCCUCCAGCUCCUUCCCCGACCGCUGCUCCUGUUCCAGCAACUGCACCUCCCCCCCUCAGACAGAGUACUCGGGUUCAUAGACCACCAGAUAGGUUUGGUUCCUCUCCUCUUUCCCUCUUCACUGCCACCUUGUCUUCUAUUUCUCUUCCUUCGUCUUAUACACAGGCCAUGAAGCAUGAGUGUUGGCGGACAGCGGUUGAAACUGAGCUUCUCGCACUUGAGGAAAACCAAACUUGGGACGUUGUUCCAUGUCCCUCUUCCGUGAAACCCCUUGGCAGUAAGUUCGUGUUUUCUGUCAAGCUUCGUUUUGAUGGGUUCAUAGACCGUUAUAAGGCUCGGUUAGUGGCACUUGCAUAGAGGUAGAACUGAUGUGAAAAUUAGAGUGUGGAAACACAACAUUUUCAUGUGAUGUUUCUUGGUUUGAAGAAGGAGCAAGGGAUAAAUUCAAAUAUGUGGAGGCUUCAGGAAUUGAAAGGAACUCCAUUUUUGAUUGAUUUUUGCUUAUGUUUUCUUUCUAGUUUGCUUUUGUUUUCAGAUUGAAGGAUGUUCUGGUUUAAAUGGUAAGGAAAGAAUCAGACAGAGUCCUUAAAUAACAAAAGCAUGUUGGGAUUUCAUCCCUUGUUUCCAACACCCAUGUUUUUUGAAUUUCCACCUCAAGCUACACACCCAUGUUUUCUAGUUUUCCACAUCGACUCACUUAAUCAUAAAAAAAGAAAGAAAAAAAGAAGAAGAAGAAAGAGGCUAAUAAUAAUUUUCUUUUUUUCUCCAUUCUUUCUUAAAGUUGAAAAAUAAAAGAAUUUCAAGAAGAAAAAAAAUGUGUCCGGUCGCAAUUGAAAUGUUAAAGAAUAAAUAAAUAAUAUAUAUAUAUAUAAAGACAUGUGAAAUUUUACCUUUUUUUAAAAACAGCUUGUAGAAACGUUAUAAAUAUCCAAUUGUGUAGCUUAAAAUCAUAAAGUUGUGUGUAGCAAGAUGGAUAAGGUGUUAGAGAUGAAUUCGAAACUCAUUGUUUGUGUUUUGGAGGGUUAAUUUUCUUUCAUUUUUUAGCGGGUUGACACGACCCGUUUAAUAAACAGGUAUUUUAGCAGGUUGGCGAGUUGACCCAAAACCCACCUGUUUAAUAAACGGGUUAGCUGCAAGUUGCUCGAAAAUGACUCAUUUUUUAAUCGUAUAAGUUCGUGUCGUGUUUUUUCUAUGCGGGUUUCGAGUCGUGUAAGGGUCGUAUCGGAAAUUGCCACCCCUACAUAUAGUUUUAUCAAUUAAAAAAAAAGCCACCAAAAGCACUUGUGAAGCAAACAAAGUCAAGGUAGGUGCCCAUAACAAAACACAUCACAUGCCAUCAAAUUCAGGGUUAAUUUUCUUUCAUUUUUUAGCGGGUUGACAGGUAUUACACGGGUUGACAAGACAUGUUUAAUAAACGAGUUAAACAGGUAUUUUAGCAGGUUGGCGAGUUGACCCGAAACCCACCCGUUUAUAAAUGGGCAUGCAGCAGAUUGACUCGAAAAUGACCCAUUUUUUAAUCGUGCGGGUUCGUGUUUUUUCCAUGCAGGUUUCGCGUCAUGUAACAUGUCGUAUCGGAAAUUGCCACCCCUACAUAUAGUUUUAGCAAGCCACCGAAAGCACUUGUGAAGCAAACAAAGUCAAGGUAGGUGCGCAUAAAAAAACACAUCACAUGCCAUCAAAUUUAAGCCAAUUCCAACACAAUAGAGUCGCCAUGAAUUUACUCCGGGUGUGUCAUUUUUAUGCCUUUCGUCUUUUGCUUGAUAUACCAUUUUUCUGAAGUUCAUCUGUUUGGUCAUGUAGUUGACAGAUGGUAGUGUCUUGUGAAUGAAGAGCGAAGAAUGAGAUUUGCUACGAAGGUUCUGCUUCUCCUGCAGUGUAACAUAAAUAGGAUGUCAACGCAUGUAAUGUUAAGAUGAGGCUUGACCAGCACUGGAACUCUCAAACCAUGUCUGGCAUGCACGCCGUAUUAAAUUACACCAUAUAUCUUCCAAGUUUCCAAGAAAAAUGAUCAACACAUGCCGCUUCACUAGAUUUGUUGGUUUUGUGAUACAACUAAACAUCAGCAGGUCUUGGUUCUGCAUCACCGCUUCACAAAAUUUAAUUCAAAGUGCUGGUUUAUUCACGUUUCAGUUGGUCAGUUUAUUCAAAGUACCAGGCUAUGAUUAUAUUGUUCAUCUAUAUUAGCCGCCAAGUAUGGGAUUACAAAUCUUGGUGAUUGGCAUUAUGGUUGGUAGUUCUCCAGAAAAGAAAAACUCCCAACUCCUUCCGAGGCCUUUAGUCUUUAAAAUCGGACCCGUAAUAACUCAAUAUCAUGGUUAUAGUGGUCUUGAUGUAUAUAGCAUGGUUUUGAUCACUUCUACAUACUAAAUUUUAGACAGAUAAAUAUCUUCGGCGUUUCAAUAAGUACUUGCAAUGGUAUCAUAUACAUCAAUUAUUAAUGUUGCCUGAAAUUUACAUAACCAACUACGGUAUAAAAGAUAUGAUCACUCUCUAAUGUAGUUCACAUUGCUUGUAUUAAUUGAUCGAUGCUUGAUGCAUUUGUUUGUGUCUCUAAUGAAGAUCUGCUCAGUUUCAACUAGGUGCUAUUAUGCAUUUGGGGCACUUGUAUCUGAAGAGACUUAGUACUUGGGCUUUUGGUUCUUUUUAAAAAAAAAAAAAUUUAUAUCAAAUUAUUCCAGAAUUGUGCCUAGAGUCCGGUGGGUACUUCCUGAUUCUACUCUUUUUUUUUUCCUGGGAAAUGAUAGUGUGGGGCUAAUUAGCUAACUGGAGUUAUGAUUUGGAAUAAGGCCUCAGCUAUUUUGAGGAUCUCUUAGUUGGGUCAGGUCUCUAAAGCCUGUUUGAUUUGUAUUUCUAAUUCUGUGUAGUUGCUUCUGGGGUGCAUUGCCCUCCCAACCCCAGUUCACAAAGAAAAAAUAUAUAUACAUGGAUACAUUUUUGCCUAACAGACAAAAGCUCAUUUUUAUUUUGUCGGUCAAAAUAAUUAAAGUUUAUUUUAGUAACAUAUAGAUCAUGAGUGAGGGUUUAAAGUAUCAAUUACCAUUUAUCAUUGGAUUAAUUCAAAAUUUAAGAAGCUCAUAUAUCCUCAUUUUUAUGUCCUUAAGUGAGCGGGAAUGUUGUUACAGUAUAUUCAUAUAAAUGUGCAUAUAGAAUAGAUACUCCCUAACAUUGUUGGUGAGGCCUCUCCAUCAUAAACGACACAGGAUGUGAUGAUGUAUUUUUCGUGAGCAACAAGUUGGAAAAGAAGUUGCCGCUAAGAAGUCUUGGAGUCAGAGGCUAUCCAUAAAAGGAAGGAUUAAUUUGCCUGCUUGCUUUGUCUCCACGACAUCCUAUUAGCCAAUGCCAUUCAUCUGUGAACGCGAUGAAGCGAAUAUAUGGACAAUAGAAAAAGCCAAUUUGGCAACUAUAUAUAAGAAAAUCAAAAAAUUAGAUGCAAGCGGUUAUUGAUAACUGAUUACUUACUUUCGAUGGAUAUUGUAUUGAAACAAUAUUUGUAAUUAACGAGUCUGGAAACAAAAACAUUAGUUUGUUACUAAUCAUGGACGUAACAAAGUAUUGAUGUUCCUAAUCAUGUUUGAUCACCAAAGACUACUGCCUUCUUAAUGUCCGGGAUUGACCAAGUGGUGAGCGAAGAUGGAGAAAAUUGUUUAGGAUUGGAAUAGGUCAAAUUUUCGGUCCCUUAAUAUAGUCAAAAAUACAAUUCAUGAAGCCAAUAGAGUCUAGUCUAAUGGAAAAUGGCUUUGAUUUGUAAAUCAGUGGUCUUAAUUUCGAAUUCUCAUGUCACCUUGGCAGUAUGUGUAUGUGAGAAAACCCUCUCCCCAAUAACGUUUGUAUAUAUAAAACAAAAGAACAAAAAACAACAAGAAAGAUGCAAUUCAUGAAUAUAUCAGCUCCCACCCUAUAAAACAAAGGAAAGUGUUACAAACUUACAAAAAACUUGGGCCAAAAUCUUCUCAAAGUUCUAAUAUAAUUAAAAACAGGUUUUUGGCAGAUUGGACAGUUCAAGAAGAUAGGCACAAAACAUCUUAUGUAUACCAUACGGUCACUACGGAUCAUGGAAUUUUAUGCCUUCAGGCUUAAAAAAAGUAAUCACAUCAGAUAGGAUUUAUACAUGAAAAAGAUUUAUGCUUGUCCUCUACAAAUUGCCUCAUUUAUAUUAAUUGUAUUUUGAUAUCAUCAGUGACAUAAAACAUAAGAGCAAAAGAAUAUUGAACUUUUGGGAAUGUCCUUCAAUGAGGGAAAGGUAAUUCACCACACCAUAUGAAAUUCCUUGGUGAACUCUCAUGAAUUAAACAAAUCCAGCACUUCUGCUAAAAUAUGAAUAUGGUUUGAAUAUUUUAGGUUAAAUUUAUUUUUCUCCAUAAGGAGAUAUGUAUAAGAGUUUACAUGUGGGCUUUAUAAGGAAUUAGAUACAGUAAAGAAUUAGAAAAGUAUCUCCUAAUUGUACAAUGAUUUAUCAAUUAUAUAAAAAAUUGGAAAGUAAAUCCCUUAAUUAAUCAAGGAAAUAAAUCUCCUUGAUUAAUUAGGAGACUCACGUCAACACUCCUCCUCAAGUGGUGCAUAUAUGUCACCAAUACCCAACUUGGUAAGUGAGUCAUGAAAUACUCUGCCACAAACAGCUUUAUUAAGAUAUCUGCCAGUUGAUCUUCUGAUUUUACGAAUGGUAGGUGGAUGAUCUUCUUCUCAAUCUUCUCUUUGGUAAAAUGUCUAUCCACUUCAACAUGUUUGGUUCGAUCGUGUUGAACUGGAUUAUGGGCAAUGUCAAUGGCUGAUUUGUUAUCACAAUGUAAUUCCACUGGUUUUCCUGGCUUGAAACCCAAUUCUGUCAAUAGUCUUCUUAUCCACAGUAGUUCACAAACUCCGUAAGUCAUUCCUCGAUACUAUGCUUCUGCACUAGACUAAGAAACCACAUUUUAUUUUUUUACUCCGCCAAGUGACUAGAUUACCUCCUACGAAGGUAAAAUAACCUGAAGUAGAGCGUCUAUCAGUAAUGGAGCCAGCCCAAUCAGCAUCUAUAUAUCCAACAACUUCGAGAUCUCUAUUUUUUUAGAAUAUUAAUCCUUUCCCAUGUGCUGACUUUAAGUAUCUCAAGAUUCGAUCAACUGCAUUCCUAUGAGACACUUUGGAUGCAUAAACUGACUAACUACACUCACAGCAUAUGCAAUAUCUAGUCUUGAGGACGUAUGAAAAGUAGAACCUUUAGUGGUGGUGAUAGAAGCAGGAGUUCGGGUAGCCAGGUCAGCAGGAGUGACCGCAUGCUUCUGCGAGUUUGCAAUAAGAUGGAGAAUCGUAGGGGUUCCUGACAAGCAACGAAAGUAAGAUAUGAUAUGAGAAGGUGAGGAAUUUGAUGUAGGAAUUGGAUUUAAGAGGUAUGUGUAUAAGAUUUGAGGGUAUGUGUUUAGGGAUUUGGAUAAGAGGAUUUGAGGACUUUAGAUUUGAUGGAUUUGGAUUUGGGGAAAAUUAUGAGGAAUUUGAUUUAGAGUUUUGGAUUUGAAUAUGAGAAAUUUGAGAUAAGGGUUUAGAGACAAAACAACUUCUCUUUACUCCCCCUCUCCCCCUAAAGAGAAGGGGUCGUCAGAGUAAAGAAAUAUGCAGUAUCUUCAUGGGAAUAUGUCAAGGUAAUGGGGAUAUGUCAAUAAACAUAUCAUUUUCACUCCCCCUCCCCCCUUUGAGGAGAAGGAGAUGAGAGCACUUAAAUUUCAAGAAGAACGCAAGCACAGGUCACAGGAGAACCUGGCUCUGAUACCAUGUUAAAAUAUUAAUAUGGUUUGAAUAUUUUAGGUUAAAUUUAUUCUUCUCCAUAAGGAUAUAUAUAUAUAUAUAUAAGUUUAUAUGUGGGCUUUAUAAGGAAUUAGAUACAGUAAAGAAUUAUGAAAGUAUCUCCUAAUUGUACAAUGAUUUAUUAAUUAUAUAAAAAAUAGGAAAGUAAAUCCCUUAAUUAAUCAAGGAAAUAAAUCUCUUUGAUUAAUUAGGAAACUCACGUCAACAAGUUCUACAUUUAAUUAAUUAUGGCCCUUUGUUCCUAAAGAUGGACAAUUUGAUAAUGUAAACAAAUGCUUCAAGCAUAUUUCCUAUGCAACUAUAUAUUUUAACAGAAGUUUGUGCUUUAAAUUAGGCACCUUCUUUGUAAUUAACAAUAAAUUAUAUAACAAAGUUGGAGUACGGUCACGUAGUAAUGGUGGAGCUACAUAUAGGCUACCCUCGACUGUAGCCCAGUGCAACCUUGGUCAAAAAUACUUCUUAUAGCACUUAAUUUCAAGAUUUUGACAUUUAUCCCACCCAGCCAACUCCCAUAUGUGCAAAUUCUUCACUUUUAUGGCUGGGUAGUUAAGAAAAGUUGUAGUUUUCUAGUUUUAUAUCAUGUUAAUUGAAUCGUUCAAGUUCAAAAAAAAUAAAAUUUAGUUGUUCUUGGUUUGACUUAAUUUUGUUUUAUCAUUUAACAAAAUAUUAGCCUACCCUUUUGAAAAUUUUAGUUCUACUCUUGCACGUAAUAAGUGUUAUAAUAUGGAUGGACUAAGUUGAUAUUUUUCCAUUUUAAGUAAUAUAUAGCAGUGGUGCAAGAACGCAGCCCAAGAGAUUGACAAAAUAAACAGAACAAGGUGGUUGGGGCUCAUUUAAUUGCUAUCAAUAUAUUUACCAAGAAACGUUAUUAAGUAGGGGCUCAUUUAAUAACAUGAAUAGGACGUUAUUAAUGUUGGAUCAGGCUUGACUGGCACUGUCACUUUCAGGCAAGAAAAAUCACACCAUAUAUCUUCCAAAUUCCAUGAAAAAUUGUCAUCAUAAUGAAAGAAAACACCAAUGAGGGAAAGCACACGUCAAACGUUUGCAUCCAAAUCUGAAAACGCAUUAAAUCCGUGAGAUUUUUUAUUAGUUAUCAGCUGGAAGAUGAGCUGGUAUUAGUUAUCAGCUGACUUAAAAAUAAAAGGAAAUAGUCAAAACAUAUAUGAUAUAUCAGGGCAACAGCUUUUGAGUACUUCAGUCCUGUUCUGGUGGCCCAAAGGUUUCAAUAUCAAUAAUUUGCAUUCAGUGGUUGUUGUUUCCCGACUUCUCAAUUUGCAUUGUGUGGUGGUGGUUUGCAUCGUUUUCAAACAUGGUUGUUCAUAUAUAUAUAAGUACAUGUGAGCAACGGCACAUACACAAAGCAACAUGCUAGUGCAAGUUUAUAACCUAAUGGCUCAUGGCUUCCUUCUCUUCCUCUUACUCUCUUGCAUUAUAUCCACAAAUAUUCAUGCCUGCAAGCAAACUGAACGCAGCUCCCUCCUGUCUUUUGCCUCCACUCUAUCUUCGCCUCCUUUAAAUUGGACAUGUCUUGAUUGCUGUCGUUGGAAGGGCAUCACUUGUGAUCAAGAUGGUUGGGUCACCCGUUUGCACUUACCUUCCAAAGGGCUCCAAGGAGGUAUCUCUCCCUUUUCACUUGCAAAUCUCACCCAUCUCACCCACUUGAACCUUUCCCACAAUUCACUAUAUGGUUCACUUGAAACUCAAUUCUUCUUGUCUUUGAAUCAACUUGAGAUCCUUGAUUUGAGCUAUAACCGUCUUUUUGGAGAACUACCACUUUCUCUUCCAUCUAUUUAUAUACGGACAGUUGAUUUGUCCAGCAAUCACUUCGUUGGUGCAAUUCCAUCUUCAUUCUUCCAACAAGCAAGCAACUUGACUAGUUUCAAUGUCAGCAACAAUAGCUUCACAGGGUAUGUCCCAUCCUCUAUUUGUCAACAACAUUCUUCUCCCUUCCUUAGGCUGUUGGAUUUUUCUUCCAAUGUAUUCAGUGGCAACCUUGCUCCUGGGCUAGGGAAGUGUUCCAAACUACAGGUUUUUCGUGCCGGUCACAAUAACCUCUCAGGAUUAUUUCCAGAAGAUAUUUAUAAUGCUACCGAACUUGAAGAAAUUGCAUUACCUCUCAAUUCACUACAUGGAGCCAUUAGUGAUAAAAUUGUCAACCUCACUAACCUCGCAACCCUUGAUCUCUACUAUAAUCAUUUUGGUGGUGAGCUUCCUCUCAAUUUGGGGAAGCUAUCUAAGUUGAAGUUUGUGACCUUUGAUUUCAACAAUUUAGAAGGUGCUUUGCCCCCAUCUUUGAUGAAUUGCAUAAACCUUGUAGAAUUGCGUUUGGGAUCCAACAACUUGGAAGGAGAUAUCUCCAUGCUUGAUUUUUCCAGACUUAGUCAACUUACUAAACUUGACCUAAGGGCGAAUAACUUCACUGGUACAGUUCCAAGAAGCCUUUACUCCUGUAGGUCCCUGAAAGCCAUUGGAUUGUCUGGAAAUCAUCUAGAGGGACAAAUAGAAGCUGAGAUUCUUUCAUUGAAAUCCUUGUCCUUCCUCUCUCUUGCUUUCAACCAAUUCACUAACCUCACAGGGGCAAUGAAGAUAUUGAUGAAUUGCAGAAGUCUUCACGCACUCUUGCUUAGUGGUUCCUUUGUGGGUGAGGGAAUGCCAUCUGAUGAUGACAUGGUUGAUUUUCAUGGAUUCCAAAAUCUUCGGCUCUUGGCUUUGGCUGGUUCUAACCUCACUGGUCAAAUACCUUUAUGGUUAUCAAAGCUCAAGAAUCUAGAGAUUUUGGGUCUAGGUUUUAAUCAAAUCACAGGGCCAAUUCCAAGUUGGUUGGGGACACUUCCUAGACUGUUUUAUAUAAGCUUGUCACACAACCGAAUUUCAGGUGAAUUUCCACAGCAACUUUGUCGACUACCAAGGUUGCUUUAUGAACCAAUUGCAUCUCAAGUAGACAACUAUGAAUUUGAAUUUCCUGUCUUCAGCACCAGCAUCAGCAUAGGGGCAAAUCAAACUUAUCCACAACAAAAAUUGUAUUUUUUACCAGGACGGAUAGAAGUAUCUAACAAUAACAUCAGUGGUUAUAUACCUGCUGAGAUAGGCCAAUUGCAGCUUCUCCGCAAGUUAGCUCUUGACUCCAACAACUUCUCCGGUAUCAUUCCAGACCAAAUAUCUAACCUAAAAAAUUUAGAGGUUUUGGACCUCUCCACGAAUCACUUGUCUGGAAUAAUCCCAUCAUCAUUGGCGAGUCUUAAUUUCUUGAAAGAAUUUAAUGCCUCAUACAAUAAUCUUCAAGGACCAAUACCAACAGGCACCCAGCUCCAAAGCUUCAACGCUUCUGUCUUUGAGGGGAAUCCAAAACUUUGUGGUGCCCCACUUCCAAAUAAGUGCAAACCAAGUAAGGGCAUUGAUGCAUAUAACAAGAACAAUAAAGACGUGGACAAUGGACUUCAUCAACUUCCGUGGUUUCAUAUUUUCGUUGCUUUGGGGUUCAUAGUAGGAUUUUGGGGAGUUUGUGGUUCUUUAGUUAUUAACAAGACAUGGAGAUAUGUCUAUUUUCAAUUCAUAGACAAUCUACAAGAUAGGCUCUAUGUGAUGAUAAGUUGAUAACAAUCCACAUCAACAUGAUGAAAAUAAGGCUUGGAGGCUAGAUAUAUAUUAUUAAUAUGUUGUACUUUUUAUUUUGCAUUUUCAGUUUGCUUUUUGUUUUUUGUUUUCUCCUUCUUUUGAAAGUAACUGGACUCAAAUUUAAAGGAUAUAUGUUGUUAUGUUCAUAAAGUUAUGGGGGAAUUUGUACUUAAUUGUAAUAACCCAAUCCUAAAUAAAUAUUUAAUUAUUAAUUUAUGUAAAUAAAAGACAAUUUUACCUCGGGAAUAUUUUAAUGGGUUAAAAGUUAACUUUCGGGAAGGAAUAUGGGGAUUUCAGUUGUACCGUUGCGUAGAGCAAGUCGAGAUGAGUCCGUAGACACAUAGUGGGCUCAAAUCGGAGUUAUAACGAAGAAUUUAUAAUCUACGGAAGCUCAAUGGCGUACUCGUAAAUUUAUUUCAAAGUUAAGAUUUUUUAAACCCAGAAUUCUUCUUCUCUGUCGCAAGCUUCACGAACAAUAGUUUUCAAACUCAAAUUUCUCCUCCGUCCAGCCACCAAUUUCUACGCCACAACUUGCAAACUCUUCAUCUUUCUCUCCUCUUCACAUCCAUACCAAUUUCCAGACCCAAAUUCAAGAGAAAAAACCAGAAAAUUGAUCAAAAGCAUAGCCAAAAAAGGAGCCCAAACCAACUAUGCAAAAACAGCAGCCGUUCGUGGUCUUUGGACACCCACGCUCUGCCGGACCGUGGGGCGGCUUGUGGGCCACUUUUUGACCAAUCCUUGAGUCCUAAAAUAAUCCUCAUGUCGUCUAUUGCACAACGGUAUGCUCAGAUAUGAAUUUGGUUAUCAUCUGAUCGUCGAUUGGAUAUCGCAUAUUAGGCGUUACCUAGGUUUGAUAUGUUUGGACCGUUGGAUCGACUUCAUUUUCAAAUUUGUUAAUCUAGACAUCUCUAAGAUCGUGUAGAAAUUCGCGGAUCGAGAAUUGGGAUCCCAAAUCGAGCAUGGACGCUCGAUAACCCCUUUGUCACAAGUGUGAUACCGGCUGCAGCCGAAGGCUCUCCAAUGUAUAAAUUAGAAUAAGUACAAAGGGAAUAAUGAUCUGGACAAAGUAAUAGCAGGAUUGCUGAAUGUCGUAGUUACCUCUUUUUUGGGACUUGUGCCUCAUCUUAUAGACUUUGGGAGGUGUGCAUCUUGAGUGGAGUUUCGAUGUGGGACUCUAGACAUUGUAUGAGGAAGCACCACAUAUACUUGUGAGAAGUUGUGGAUGAAAUGAGUUUGUUGCCACGAUCGACAAUCCUGGGUGCUAAGGGCUAGCCCUGCUGGUGGUCCUUCGUGUGAUGUAAUCGACUAUUGGGUUUUUAGCGAGUCAUCCUUAUGGGUCCCUUUUUCCACAUGUAGUCUUCUGAUUGGUUGGUUGGAUAUGGUGUAAACAAACUUACUCGUCAAACUUACUUUCUCCUGUUCAAUUAAUGAAACCUAGUCAAACAAAAAAUGAUUACAAAACAAACCCAGCAGACGACCUCCACACCAUUCCCAUGUAGUAAAUGGGGAAGCAAGUUCUUGUUUCAGUUUGGCUUUUGGAGGAAGUUAUGUUGCAUUAAAUGAGUCGUUGAAAUUGAAGACAUUUAGGUCUUCACUUGGGGCUGCCGACAUUGGUGUAGAGUAUGAGAAAAGUCUUGCUUUUCACAUUGAGCAAAUGCCCUAUUAAUAAUAUUCAACAACUGAUUCAUUUAGUGUGUGGGGGCUUUGAAAACAACAUAAAAAUAUAAUAUUAGAAGUAUUAAAAGUAACAAAAGUUUAAGCGGCAGGGAAUGGGAAGAGGAAUGUAGGCACGCCAACAACAGCAAACAUGUUAUAUUAUAUGUAGUAUUUUUUUAUUUUAUAAAAGUUGAGAAGGUACAGAAGAGAGGAUUGGGGUGGAUGUUGCAGAGAGUGAAACUGUGAAAAAAAAAAAAAAAGGGAGGUAUUGUUUUUUAUUUUUUAUUUUUUUAAUUUUCUUUUUCAAAGUGGGGGGUUGGGCUUGUUUCAUUUUAAAUUUUUUUAAAAGAUAAGUGUAGUCUCUAUACAUUAUAAUUUUAUUCUUGAUAUUCUGGAAGAAGUACUCGUGGUGGUACCAGAUCCUCGAAUCGAGAUCCAAACGCGUGACCCACUCGAACCACAUCUUCGUUAUCUGCAUCAUGGGCCUCUUCCUCGAUCCCAUCUACUGCUUCCUCCCCAUCAUUGGUGAAUCCUCUUGUACGAAAAUCGACACUGGGUUUCAGCAGCUGGAUUAACUCUUCAGAUUUGAGACUGGCCAAAUUCAUUCAUAUAUUUUUGCUUCACAAAUGUCUUCUGCUCAAUUAGUAGCAAAUUGAUUUCACCCUAAGUUUUGAUGCCCAAAAAGACUUUUUAGAACUAAAAAAUUGUGAAAAGAGAAAAGGACGAACAAAUAAAAAAGGGUAAAUUUUACUUUACUAAUCGGAAGUUUCCUAAAAUUCAGACUUUACUGCAUCAAAUUUUUUUCGUAUCAACUUCGUACUAAAAUUUUGAUUUUUCUACUAUUUUCAUAUAUCUAUUAGUCAUUUUGUCAAAUGCUCUAUUAUGUGGGAUUUAAGAAACCAAUAAAUUAUAUAAAUAAUAAAUAUUUUUUUAAAAAAUUGAAAAAAAAUAAAUUCUCUCCACCUGUUUUCUCUUCUUCUAUCUCUGUACAUGAACACCCAAUCCAUCCCUCCCCUCUCUCCGACAGCCACUAACCCAACCACAUCAAUUGAAUCAGUGCUUAACAAGCAUCUUUCCUUCUCCUUCAAUUAAUCAAACCUGUUGAUGCUAAAAAAUGAUUGGAUACUUUAGGACGGCCCAACUUAGUGAUGAUGUCACCUUCGGUCUCAUAUGAGCUUCGGUAGAGCGAUUGAUCUGCAAGAGAAUGAAUGCGAUAAGCCUUUUGGCACUGGUAUGGUAGCGGCCGAAGUCGGAGGCUCUCUGAUGCUUAAAUUAGAAGUAAAUUUAGGUUUUACCCAUAAAAAAACUUUCACUUUUGGAAAAAGCCAAAGCUUUUUCAAAAAAGACGGAAUAACCUCUCAACUUUCAAACCACAGACAUGCAAAUGUAAAGGAUUUCUUAGGAAAUCAAAAAAUAAAUAAGGGCAAUUUUGUCCAUUUUUGCUUCUUUUAAAAAUUUUCUCUCUCCUUUGGGCUUUUCCAAAGUCUCCCUAAAUUAGAAUAAGUACGGAGGGAAUACUGAUCUGGCCAAAGUAACAGGAUUGCCGAAUGUCGCAGUUACCUCCUUUUUGGGACUUGUGCCUUAUCUUAUAGACUUUGGGAGGCGUACAUCUUGAGUGGAGUUUCGAUGUGGGACUCUGGACAUUAUCUGAGGAAGCGUCACAUAUACUUAUGAGAAGUUCCAGAUGAAAUGAGGGUUUUGCCACGAUCGACAAUCCUGGGUGCUAAGGGCUUGGGAUGUAAUCGACUAUUGGCUUUUUAGUGGGUCAUCAUCCUUGUGGGUCUCUUUUUCCACAUGCGGUCUUCUAAUUGGUUGGUCAGAUAUGGUGUAAACAAAACCCAAAAAAAAAAAAAAAAAAUCUUGUGUUUCUUUUACUCAUCAAACCUACUUUCUCCAAUUCAAUUAAUGAAACCCAGUGAAACAAAAAAAUGAUUACAAAACAAACCCAGCAGACGACCUCCACACCAUUCUCUCCUCCGCGCAACGCAUAAGAGCUCACGGCGGUAACAAAAUAAAAAAAAUAAAAAACCCCAGACUCUGAACUCUACAUGGCCUUCAGGCUGGAAAUGCAAGAAGCCAUAACCGCCUCUAUUGCUCUCGAGACCCUCGUCAUCGGCCUCCGUUUCGAGUUCACGCAACUUGAACGAACGACUCCGUUUUGGACCUCUCCGCCACACGCUCAUGCUCAUCCUCGAGGAUGUCUAGCGAUUAGCUCAGCAGAGCGAGAUGAAGACCCAGGAAGAUCUCAGACGUUGGAUUCACGAUCAGAAGUUCGCCGCCCAACCCAUUGUACGGAUGGAUCGUCUUCGUCGUCACCGACUCGCAUUGAGAUCUGGUGCAUAGGGUGGGGUGGGGUGGUUGGAGGUCCAAGAAGGGAAAGGUGCUGAUGAGAUCUCGACAUGGAGCUGGUGGAUUGUGUCUUGGGAGCAGGAGAUGGGUGCUAGUGCUAAGCUAUAUGUCUCCUUGCCGAAGUCCUUGAUAUCACAUCUCUCUCCUUCCUGGCCCGGCUCACCUGCCUCUGAAGCUGGAAUGCCUUUAUAGAGGAGGCUACCCGAGGAAUCGAAAAGUUUGAAGUGGGAAUGGAAAAAGGGUGGAUGCAAUAGAAUCCGGUCUCUUUAGCAGGAGUUCUCUUUAAAAAAAUAAGAAGACUCGCUUUCUUUACUAAAAAGACUCUUUGAUUCGUUUUGUCUCAUCGAUGCAGUCACCAGGCUAAACUGUUAAACAUUCUGAUGCCCUGGUCAAUUGUUUGCUCACCCGCUGUUGUGUUCAUAUAUAUGGUUGGAGGUUUUACAGAGAAUUUACAGAGAAUCUCUGGUUUGAAGAGAUGUUCCCUGUGCUGAUCUAAAAGCCACGAAACGUUGUUUAAAAUAGUUUGAAAUGUCAAACUUUAAAUCUUGACCACAUAUUCAGAUAUGAUUCUGCCCAAUCAAUGACCUUUAUUGAUAUAGUUCGACAAAAGAAUGUGUCUAGGCAAAAACAAACAUGAAAGCUUCAGCUCCAAAAGUCCAUCAAGGCUUUCAAAUGAAAAACUGCAUCCAGCCAUCUAGCCACCACAGAGAACUAUAUGUACCCAACAGACUGUCAGACUCAAACAAUCACUAUUGACAGAAAUAUCUCAAAGCAGUGGUAGACAUCCCCUCAUUUUUGCAAACUCCGUUAUCAUGAAACUUAUUUUGACAGAUUUAUUUUGAAACUGAGUAGAACUUCGAAGAAACCUAGCAUUACAUAUCACCUGCAUUAUGUGAAGGUUGCAGAACUCAAUGAAGUGAUUGCCUCAUGGUUUUGGCUACAUUAUGUGAAGUUAGAAGUUAGAACCUGCAAUUGAUUAUGCAUAAGCAUCCGAGGAUAGUUGAAAGGGAGCAUGCUGCAAAAUCCAUGACAUAACAGUAGGAAACUACCGAACUCUCACCGCCGUACAAAUCAUAUACAUACCGCCUAUUGUCAUACUGGCACUAAGUUCCAAUUUCUGUAAUAACUUAAAAAACAUGCUUGUUUAUAUACUUGAAGAUGGUUUAAUGUAGCAUCUGCACAAAUACAAGGUCCAUUAACAUAUAAUUACAGUCUUCAAGAGCAGGUUGUUCUGAUAACCAACAAAUAAAAUAGUGCAAUGCAUGACUAUCCAAAGUGAAUAAAUAGAAGCAUGCAUCCUAUGGUAUUUCUAUGGGGAACCCCAAGCCACCUUAUGCCAAAGCAUCUUAGAUAAAGACUGCCUGAACUCUUACCUAGCAUUAUUCACAGAUGACAAAUUCACCUCGAUUUGGAUUAGAAUCCACAGCUUCAAUAGACAUACAUAUUCUAAGCUGAGAAAGCUCUUUGGUACUCGCAAUUGCAAACCCCACUGCGCGCGCACAUACACACACCAAUAAUCUCACCUUCUUAUUCAAUAUCAAUAAUCUUGCUAUUUGAGUCAUCCUCAAGAAUGUUGUGUACUGCCCGAAUCAAACUAUAAACUGGAGAGAAAAUGUCACAAAAGAAGCACCAAAUGUAUACAAAAUCGAAAUCUUGACAAUCCCCAUUACCAUUCAAAUUUGUACACUGAAUACUCAUAUUAGCAAUUUGAUCAAACUCAAAAUGAAGCCAAAGAAAUUUGCACACAUAGGUAUUUCGUAUAUUCAAACAGAUUGAAAGGUAUGAAUUCUUGCACCAUUUUCCAUAUAAUUUAACAACCAAACUACCAAAGCUCAGUCUAACACGAGUUCAGCUGGAGCAGCACACGAGUUCAGAUGGCAGAAAAAACUUCUCUUUUGAGACUUUGAAUUAGAAUUUGCAGAGAAUUGAAGAGCACCUCCACCCCAAAAGGUAAGAGCAAGGCAAGGUUUGACACUAUUCAUGUGAAUAGUGUCAGCCUUGCCUUUUUUGGUUCCACCCCAAAUGGCAAGGGCAAGGGCAAAUACUAUUCACUUUACUUUAUUAUUAUUAUUUUUUUAUACUUAUCUAUUAAUUUUGAUAGUUUUUCAGAUAAUAUUUUCGGUUGCCAUGUGUCACUAUUUAUUAUAAAAUUCUCACCUAAAAUUUCAGAUAACAUUUUCAGAUAAAAUUUUCAAAUUAAAUUUUUGGAUAAGAUUUUCGGUUGCCACAUGUCCAUAUUUAUUAAAUUAAAAUUUUCAAAUGGAAUUUUGUAGUAGAAAAUUUGGUAUGGAAAGUGAAAAAUAUAGGAAGGAGAUGAAUUUGUAUGAAGAUUUGGUGUGGAAAAGUGAAUAAUAUUGGGGAGACUUUGGAAAAGCUCAAAGGAGAGAGAAAAAUUUUAAAAGAAGCCAAAAUGGACAAAAUUGCCCUUAUUUAUUUUUUGAUUUCCUAAAGAAUCUUUUACAUUUGCAUGUCUUUGGUUUGAAAGUUGAGAGGUUUUUCUGUCUUUUUUGAAAAAGCUUUGGCUUUUUCCAAAAGUAAAAGUUUUUUUAUGGGUAAAACCUAAAUUUACUAUAAUAUUGGUAGGUAUUUAUAGAAAAAAAUUCUAGAAUUUUUUGAUAUAUUUUUUUCAAUUUUUUUUUAGGCGCUGAUGUCAGCAUGACGUUAGCAGCCUAAGGGCAACAGCCCAGUCCAUUUUUGACUGUGGGCUUGCCCAGGCUGGCCUUUUUGCGCUGGAGGAUGAAUUGGGGCCUCGGGGGGCCUGUUGCCAUGGCAACAGCCUAGCACUGCACAUGCUUAAAAGGAGACUUUGAUUCCAUAUAUCUGGGCUUUAACAAAUUCAUCCAAUGCGUCUUGUGCAUCUUUUUAGUGUUUUUUGCAGUGAUUUCUCACUGAUUAUUUUUGGGAAUUUGAAAUUUGUGACCCUUGAUUUCUUAAUACAUGAAAGUUAUUAUAUCUAGUCUAAUAUGAAUUAAUAGAAAAUAUUUUUAUAACAUGAAUAGGGCAUCAAUGUAUGUUUACAUCUGGCUUGACUGUUAUCAAUUACAACAUUUUGCUCUUCAAAACUCAAUGCUCUGUUAUAUUUUAUGGAAUUAAUAAAUAUGGACUAAGUGAGACAGAGAAUUGAGUUUCAGAGAGUAAAGUGUGACAAAUUGAGUUUUAGAUGGCAAAGUGAGAUUCAAAUUGAGUUUCAAGGGCCAUAUCAAUAAUUAAUCCUUUUAAAUUUUAUAUUGUGCCAUUUGUGUAGAAAGGACUUCUUUGUGAACGAUUGCUGCUUAUCAGUGAUACGUGAUUUUUUUUUUUAUGUAGUUGCCUUCAUGUGGGGCAAACAACUUGGAAAGAAUGACUAUCUUCCAAUUUUCUUAGAAAAAUUUUCAACAAGAAAAGAACUUGGACUUUGAUUGACAUGGAAGAUGUGCUGGUACCACAUAUCAGCUGCCUUAAAAAUCCAAAAUGAAAAUUCAGUAUAAGAAGAUCUUUGCUUGAGGACGAAAGUCAAUGCAGACUUUAAAAUACACAAGGUCAUCGCUUUGGUUUCAUUAGUGGAAAUCUCUCUUUGACGUACAGAGGGGUUUGGAUAAUUUGUGCUGUGUGGUUAUGGCAGCUUAUAAACCUGUCAUUUUGUGCAACAGUGGGGGCCCUAGAGACAGUUAAGAACGGUGAAACAUGAUUUCUUUGUGAUUGGCUAUGGCUAAACUUAUCCAAGACCAGCAGAUUGCGCAGAGAAUGGGCAUAGAAGCGCGACGGCAUGUGACAGAUUCAUUCUCUACAAAAAUAGUUGGUCAGCAUUUGAACAUAUCAAUACCUUGUUGACGUUGCUUGGAGGAAAGAAGACUGAAGACUGCAUGACCUUGCAGCAUAAGUUGUUCAAUUGAAUCAACUCAGAGACUGAUAUAUUAAUUUGUUGGGUUUAAUAUAUCCAUCAAUUUACUGAGUGUGUGGCUAUUGGUGAAGGGAUUUCUAGAUUAGUUAUGUUUUAUGCCUUUCGUCAUUUGGUCCUGUGUAGUUAACAGAUGCUAGUGACUUGUGAAUGAAGAGAGAGAAGAUUUGCUACGAAGGUUCGACUUCUCCUGCAGUUUAACGUCAAUAAGGAAGUCAAUGUAAUGUUGGAUAAGGCUUGACUGCCACUGUCAUUCUGAGGCCAUAUAUAUUCCCAAUUCCAUGAAAAAAUUAUCACCAUUAGUCACGGCAACAACUUUGAAUACUAAGGCGUUGUGGACUUUAAAUUUGCAUCGUUUCAAGCAUUGUUGCUCUUAUAUAUAUAUAUAUAUAGUCCCCUUUUAUUGAGGGAUCCCUCAAAUAAUUUUAUUUGAAGGACGCCCUUUAGGAUACCCUACAAUUUUUUUCCCAAUGAUCCAAACCAUUUAUUUUUUAGGUCUUCAUUUAUAGAUCAUCCUUACAAAAAAUUAGACAAAUCGGAAACCGUUUCGAAUCCAAUUGUGUCUUACAAAAUCAAUGAACACGGUGCUUCAAGAAAAUGCUAAAAUUUCAAUAACUUAAUUGAGUGGUCAAAUGAUAUCGGAUUCAAGUGAUUUUUUGUAGAGAUGAUCUUUGAAUGAGUAUCUACAAAAUAGACGGUUUGGAUUAGUGAAAUACAAUCCGGAGUGGGGCCUACAAGGGGUGUCCCUCAAAUAAGCUUAUUUGAGGGAUCCCUCAAUGGAAGCUCUCUGUAUAUAUAUAUAUAUAUAUAUAUAUCAGUCCCCUUCUAUUGAGGGAUCCCUCAAAUAAAAUUAUUUGAGGGACGCCCUUUAGGGUACCAUACAAUUUUUUUUCCCAAUGAUCCAAACAAUCUAUUUUUUAGGUCUUCAUUCAUAGAUCAUCCUUACAAAAAAAUUAGACAAAUCGGAAAUCGUUUCGACAUCCAAUUGUGUCUUACAAAAUCAAUGAACACGGUGCUUUAAGAAAAUGCUAAAAUUUCAAUAACUUAAUUGAGUGGUCAAAUGAUAUCGGAUUCAAGUGGUUUUUUGUAGAGAUGAUCUUUGAAUGAGUAUCUACAAAAUAGACGGUUUGAAUUAGUGAAAUACAAUCCGGAGUGGUAUAUAUAUAUAUAUAUAUAUAUAUGGGACACACAUAAAACCACACUUUUUUACACACAUCUUUAGCCCUUAGAUCUAUCCCAAUCUAACGGUUGAAAAUUGAAUCGUUCAAGUUCAAAAAAAAUUAAAAUUUAGUUGUUCUUGGUUUGACUUAAUUUUGUUUUAUCAUUUAACAAAAUAUUAGCCCACCCUUUUGAAAUUUUUUAGUUCCACUCUUGCAAUAUAGCUCAUAUAUGCGUUAUGAUAUGAAUGGACUAAGUUGAUAUUUUUCCAUUUUAAGUACUCAUAAAAUAUUAAGUUGUUGGGAAGCUUCAUAGUUUGUUUUUUUCCUUCAAGUUGAUAAACGUUUUCCACAUUUUCUUCCAAAUUCUAGCUAUGUAGUCACGUGGCGUCGCCACAUACUAGCCUUGAGUGGUCAUGCCCAGUGGCGGACCCAGACUUUUUCCCAUCUGGGGGCAUAAAAAACAAUUUCAUAACUGACUCCUACAAAGGCUAGGUUUUCAUAGCAAUACAAUAUAUAUUAUAACACAUAAUCUAUUUCAAUAAAUUUUUAAUAUAUGAUUUUGGGCCAAAAUCUAAGGCUUUAUAUAUUGGACCAUAUGUUUAUUAAGUCUCGGGCCUUGAUAUUUUCAAUAUAGAAGAGGUUUUGGGCUAAAAACUUGAAGGCUUUACUUAUUUAGGGUGCUGAGUGGGCAUUUUGCAUGCAAAAUAUUAGCCAAGUGUCUGGGAGCAUGAGUUAUAUCCCGCACAAAAAUGAUAAGAACAACUCUUCUCACUUGUUUGUUAAUAUAUUAGUAUCUCUAUGAUAACAUAUGUUACCAAUAUGAAGUAUCUGCAAAACUAAUCGCUUAGCUCAAAGGGAAGGUAAAUUGCUCCUGUUGUGAAUGAUCGGAUGAAGCAGCCAUUGCACCACCCAAGAUAAGAAAGAAAAUUCAAGAGUUACUAAUAGCCCUUCUGUCUUUCGCAAUUUAUGAAGAGGUUGUACUUGAGCCACAUUGUUAAGAUAGCAAAACAGGUGAAUUUGAAUAACUCUAGGGGCAUGUCAGUACCCAAAUCGUGCUCGAAGACCACACACAUAUGGCCGAAUGUCAAAUUCAUGUUGAAGACCAAACAUCGUCUACCUGUUUAUUUGUUUGUUUUCAAUUAGUUUUUCGGCAAUCAAGUAUUCAUUUAUACAUGAUUGUCUGCUUUCUUGUUAUUUUUUGCUUUAAUUUUCAUUUGAGCUACAGUCUUGAAUUAGCUGUAGUAUUCUUUUUUCUUUAUUGAAUAUUUCUCUUUUUUGGAAUUUUUUAAGGCCAAGUUUUAAUGAAACCAUAUUUGAUUUGUGGCUCCUCUUUUUUUUUUUUUUUUUGGUAAUUAAGUUGUUGGCGAAGAACUUUAUGUCAUACACAUGAAAUUAUAGUUUAAAAUGAACUAGUAUGGGGUUGUAUUAGUUUAAUCUGUGGUGGGAAUGGCCCUACCCUCUAACUAAUCCAUUUACAUUGUUUUAUGGAGUCAAUUACAAUUGAUUUACUGUAGAUUUUUAAUUAUUUAUUUAUUUUUAAUGUAUUAUAUCUUAACUUAAGCGAUAAGAUUUAGUCUUCAUAAUCAACAAUAAGUCAAGAUGAUGAUUGACAAAUAGACCCCCACCCAACCACAUUUUAAUUCACAUCUUAUAUUCCUUCCAGAUUUUCAACCAAUCUGCAGACAUGGAUGAAAAAGUAAUUUGCAUUCAAACCACAAGUUCUUUGAAGGUAGCUCUCGUUCAAACAAUCAUAUGUAAUUUACUGUGGGUCGUUGCCACGCAGAGUUAGAGCAUGAUUGGUCCAAAUAAACUUGAUUAGCAGUGAUUGAAUGGGCAGCUAAUUGCCCAUCAUUUUUGAUUAAUUAUUUCCAAUUUGUCUUAUGCAGCAUGUAAUUAGGUAGAAUUCCAUGAUGAAAAUUUUCCUCUUAGGCAGUCAGUGUCAGCCUUCCAAGUUCGCAUAAUUGCUUUUUGAAUGCUGGGGUUGAUAGUAAUUGCCUUUUUUGGAGAAUGCUAGCAACCUUCUCCCUUUUUUGCUUGAUAUGUGUCAUUCUCCUUACACUUCAAACAAUGUCAUUAAUAUAUUAUACAAGCUAACUUUUUCUUUCCAAGUUUACCCUUAUUAAAUGUAUUCAAUUUAUUCAAAAAAAUUUCGCAACUUUCUUACCAUCUUAUUAAUUUUUUUUUUAACAUAAAUUUUUAUAUUUAAGAAAAUGUCUGCUUUUAAAAAUAAAAUAAAAAGGGGAAAUGUCCCUUUUUUUUAACGUCAAGUUUAGACUUUUUAUUUAUUAAAAAAGGGCAUUUCCUUUUUUUUUUUUUAAAAAAGAAAAUAUUUUCUUUAUAAAAAAAUAAUUGAGGUUAAAAAAAAUUUAAUAAGAUGGUAAGAAAGUUGUGAAAUUUUUUUGGAUAAAUUGAACACAUUUAAUAAGGAUAAACUUGGAAAGCAAAAGUUAACUUGGAUAAUCUAUUAAUGACAUUGUUUUAAGUGUAAGGAGAAUGACACAUGUCAAGUAAAAAAUAGAGGAGGUCCAAAGGAGAAGAUUAGAGAGAAGGUUGUUAGCAUUUCUCUUAUAGUAAUUGUCUACUUGUUUAUUUGUUUGUUUUCAGUUGGUCUUUAGUAACUUAAAGACAAGAACAAUGGUGAAUACAGCCCAAUUCACUUCAUCAUUAGUUCAUUCAUCCCAUUCAACAAUACAAACAAAACCCACAAAGCAAUUAUACAAAGAAAUUAUUCCGUCUGAGUCUCAGUGCUUCUGCUUACAGCUUGCUUCUAAUUCAUCCAAUCAACUUAAAGACAAGAACAAGUGAUCAGAACCCAUUUCAGUUCAUCACCAACUCAUCCAAUUUCACAUCCCAAACAAACCCAAAUCAAGAGUGAUUAUUUAGAAGCAAGAUUAGUGGCAGACAAGCCCAUAUAUCUCAGGCCACGUCGCUCUCAAGCAAGGUUAGUGAAGAAUAACACCAUAUAUCUUCCAAAAAUUUCCAUGAAAAAUUAUCACCAUAUAUCAGGGCAACAACUUUUAGUACUUUGUGUGAACGCCUCAAAUUAAGUAGGUCAAGUCUUCUCCUGGUGGCCCCCUAUUAAGUGGUUGUUGUGGAAAUAUAUAUUCGACGUAUACAGGGGUCAAUUUACAUCGUUUUCAAGCAUGGUUGCUCUUAUAUAUAUAUAUACCUAAUUUGCACUGAGCAACAGCACAUACACAAAGCAACAUGCUAGUGCAAGCUUAUAACCUAAUGGCUCAUGCCUUCCUUCUCUUCCUCUUAUUGCCUUCCAUUAUAUCUACAAAUAUUCAUGCCUGCAAACAAACUGAAAGGAGCUCCCUUCUGUCCUUUGCCUUCACUCUCACUUCUCCUCCUUUAAAUUGGACAUCCCUUGAUUGUUGUCGUUGGAAGGGCAUCACUUGUAAUCAAGAUGGUUGGGUAACCCGUUUGAUAUUACCUUCCAAAGGGCUCAAAGGAGGUAUCUCUCCCUCUUCACUUGAAAAUCUCACACAUCUCACCCACUUGAACCUUUCCCACAAUUCACUAUAUGCUUCACUUGAAACUCAGUUCUUCUUGUCUUUGAAUCGACUUGAGGUCCUUGAUUUGAGCUAUAACCGUCUUUUUGGAAAGCUACCAAUUUCUCUACCAUCUAGCAAUAUCCGGACAGUUGAUUUGUCCAGCAAUCACUUCAUUGGUGCAAUUCCAUCUUCAUUCUUCCAACAAGCAAGCAACUUAACUAGUUUCAAUGUUAGCAACAAUAGCUUCACAGGGUAUGUCCCAUCCUCUAUUUGUCCCCAACAUUCUUCUCCCUUCCUUAGGCUAUUGGAUUUUUCUUCCAAUCUAUUUAAUGGCAACCUUGCUCCUGGGUUAGGGAAGUGUUCUGAAUUGCAGGUUUUUCGUGCCAAUCAUAAUAACCUCUCAGGAUUUCUUCCAGAAGAUAUCUAUAAUGCUACCAAACUUGAAGAAAUUGCAUUACCUCUCAAUUCACUACAUGGAGCAAUUAGUGAUAAAAUUGUCAACCUCACCAACCUUGUCAUCCUUGACCUUUCCUUUAAUCAUUUUGGCGGCGAGCUUCCUCUCAAUUUGGGGAAGCUCUCCAAGUUGAAGUUUGUGACCUUAGAUUUCAACAAUUUAGAAGGUACGUUGCCCCCAUCUUUGAUGAAUUGCACAAACCUUGUAGAACUGCGUUUGGGAAACAACAACUUGGAAGGAGAUAUCUCUGUGCUUGAUUUCUCAAGACUGAGUCAACUUACUAAACUUGACCUAAGGAUCAAUAACUUCACUGGUACGGUUCCAGUAAGCCUUUACUCAUGUAGGUUCCUAAAAGCCAUUCGGUUGGCUGAAAAUCAUAUAGAGGGACAAAUACAAGCUGAGAUACUUUCAUUGAAAUUCUUGUCCUUGAUCUCGUUUGGUUACAAUCGAUUCACCAACCUCACAGGGGCAAUGAAGAUAUUGAUGAGUUGCAAAAGUCUUCACACACUUUGUCUUAGCGGUUCCUUUGUGGGUGAGGGAAUGCCAUCUGAUGAUGACAUGGUUGAUUUUGAUGGAUUCCAAAAUCUUCGGGUCUUGGGUUUGGUUCGUUCUAACCUCACUGGUCAAAUACCUUUUUGGUUAUCAAAGCUCAAGAAUUUAGAGAUCUUGGCUCUGGGUUUUAAUCAAAUCACAGGGCCGAUUCCAAGUUGGUUGGGGACUCUUCCUAGACUAUUUUAUAUAAGCUUGUCACACAACCGAAUUUCAGGUAAAUUUCCACAACAACUUUGUCGACUACCAAGGUUGCUUCAUGAACCAACUGCAUCUCAAGGAGAGAAUUAUGAAUUUGAACUUCCUGUCUUUAGUGCCAAUUGCUUCAGAAUAAUCGCAAAUCAAAAUUUUCAAUCGCAAAAAUUGGAUUUUGUUCCAGCAACGAUAGACUUAUCUGCGAAUAACAUUGUUGGUGAUAUACCCACUGAGAUAAGCCAAUUGCAGCUUCUCCACACGUUGGGUCUUGACUCCAACAACUUCUCCGGCGUCAUUCCAGACCAAAUAUCUAACCUAAGAAAUUUAGAGGUUUUGAACCUCUCCAUGAAUCAAUUGUCUGGAAUAAUCCCAUCGUCAUUGGCGAGCCUUAAUUUCUUAAAAGAAUUUAAUGUCUCAGAUAAUAACCUCGAAGGAUCGAUACCAACAGGCACCCAGCUCCAAAGCUUCGAAGCUUCUGCAUUUGAGGGGAACCCAAAACUUUGUGGUGCGCCACUUCCAAGGUGCGAAUCAAAUAAGGGCAUUGAUGCAGAUAACAAGAACAACAAAGACGUGCACAAUGGGCUUCAUGAACUUCCAUGGUUUUAUAUUUUCACUGCGCUGGGGUUCAUAGUGGGAUUUUGGGGAGUAUGUGGUUCUUUAAUUAUUAACAAGAUAUGGAGAUAUGCAUAUUUUCGAUUCAUAGACAAUCUACAAGAUAGGGUCUAUGUGAUGGUAAUAGUGCGAAUCAACAUGAUGAAAAAAAGGCUUAGAGGCUAGAUAUAUAUUAUUAAUAUUGUACUUUUUAUUUUGCAUACUCAGUCCAAAGAUAUGAAAACUUAUGCAUAUUCAUGUAAUACGGUUGUCAAUUGUGAAGGAUUGAUGUCUUGUCUAUGUUUUGGAUUGGAAUUCCCUUGCUGCUGUGCUUUGGCAUGUGGGGCUCAAAGGUUAUGUUUGAAUAUUGAAGUCGCCAUAUGUUUUCAUGUCCUUUUAACUUGGUUCAUUGCUUGUUGAUAUUAAGGAGCGUAUGGUGAGCGCCCUCAUGCCUUGAAUCAUUUAUCAUCAAAAUAUUUGAUAUCCUAACUGAUCAUGCAUUUCAUACGCUGACAAAAAUUUGUGGACUUUGUCUAUACACAUGAGGAAGAAACACAGGUGUGCGUUCAGGGCUUCUAAGCCAAUGAAGACAUUCAGAAUUUCAUUUUGGAGUGGAGGAGCUUGUGCUAAGGACAUAUUUGUGUAUGGGAGCAUGAGUUAUAUCCUGCACAAAAAUGAUAAGAACUACUCUCUCACUUGUCUAUGAUAACAUAUGUUACCGAUAUGAAGUAUCUGCAAAACUAAUCGCUUAGCUCAAAGGGAAGGGAAAUUGCUCCAGUUGCGAAUGAUCGGAUGAAACAGCCAUUGCACCACUCAAGAUAAGAAAGAAAAUUCAAGAGUUAUUAAUAGCCUUCCUGUCUUUGGCAAUUUAUGAAGAGGUUGUACUUGAGCCACAUUGUUAAGUUAGCAAAACAGAUGCAUUUGAAUAACUCUAGGGGUAUGUCAGUACCAAAUCAAGUAUCCGCUCUUUUUACUCCCAUUUCGUUGAAAAACAGGGCAAAGCCUAUAUGUUCAAUUCUGGUGGUUUUUCAAAGUAAUUGGUGAUUUAGUCUUCAUAAUCAACAAUCUACAAGUCAAGAUGGUGAUUGACAAAUAGACCCCAACCCACCCACCCCAUUUUAAUUCACAUCUUAUAUUCCUUCCAGAUUUUCAAGCAAUCUGCAAACAUGAAUCAAAAAGUAAUUUGCAUUCAAACCACAAGUUCUUAGAAGGUACCUUUCGUUCGCACAAUCAUGUAAAUUACAUCAACUUUGUGGUGAUUGAAUGGUCCAAAUAAACUUGAUUAGCAGUGAUUGAAUGGGCAGCUAACCGAUAAGGGUCCCAUCAACUUUGAUUAAUUAUUUCCAAUUUGUCUUAUGCAGCAUGUAAUUAGGUAGAAUUCCAUGAUGAAAAUUUUCCUCUUAGGCAGUCAAUGUUAGCCUUUGAAGUUCGCAUAAUUGCUUUUUGAAUGCUGGUUAUGAUAGUAAUUGCCUUUUUAAUACUGAUAUUAUAGUAAUUGUCUACCUGUUUAUUUGUUUGUUUUCAAUUGGGGAGUUUGUGGUUGUUUAAUUAUUAACAAGACAUGGAGAUUAUCGUAUUUUCAAUUCAUGGACAAUGUACAAGAUAUGCUCCUCUAUGCGAUGAUAACAAUCCCCCUCAAUAGGAUGGAAAGAAAGCUUAGAGGCUAGAUAUAUAUUAUUAAUAUUGUACUUUUUAUUUUGCAUUUUCAAUUUGCUUUUCCCUUUUUUUUUCUUUAUUUCUGGUCAUGACAUAUUCACGUGAUAAAUUUUUCACAUAAAAACGCUGCAUUGUCGUCGGAUGGACUUCUUCCAUGAAGUGACAGGACCGUCACCCACACUACAUCACCCUGCACUUUCUAUCCUUUCUAUUUCAUUGCAAUAGCUUAGAUUCUAUUUCCCGAAAAGCUAAGAAAUGGUUAUCCUUUUCUCUCGGUAUGCUUGCCAUGUGGCAUCCCAGAAUCAUGUAUAAGCACCUAAAACCUAAUAGCUGGUGCGGGUCAUGAAUGCCUUUCCUUUAAUUUGCUCUCUGUUUUCCUUUUCUGAAUCUGCGAACCUAUCAUGAAGCCCCGAAAGAAAACAAAUGCAAAUAACUACCCGGAAUUUAAAAUGAGCCAAACAUUGUUAAGUUAGCAAAAUAGAUGCAUUUGAAUAACUCUAGGGGCAUGUCAGUAUCAAGUAUCCGCUCUUUUUACUCCCAUUUCGUUUAAAAACAGGGCAAAGCCCGUCAUGAAGCAGCCUAUAUGUUCAAUUCUGGUGGUUUUUCAAAGUAAUUGGAGUCAAAUAUUCUAGGUAAUUGGAGUCAAAUAUUAUAUGUUUAUUUAGUCAAUUAUCUACUAUUUUAUCACAAAAAAUUGGAAGGAAAUACAUUGCAUGGUAAGUUUAAGUGAUUUAAAUAGUGAACUAAAUACUAUGACUUCAGCAAAUUUAUAGUAAUUAAUGAAAGAAUAUUAAAAACACCAUAAUUUUUUUAUAUAUAAUAAUUUACUACACCUUUUUUACCUUUUGUUUUAUAUAUAGAUAGAUAAUAGAUAAUACACUCCAUAAUAAUAUAAUAAAUAAUAUUAAAUAGAUUAAAUAUAUCAUAGGAAAUAUUAAAAUAUUAAAAUAAUAUUAAGACUCGUUGGUUUCAGUAGUGGAAAUAUAUCUUCGACGUAUAGAGGGGUUUCAUUAGUCCCGCAUUUGAACGGUUUAUUUCUAUUUCUUCUCUUUUCCCUCUCAUCUCUCUUGCCUUUCCUUCUCUCCCCCAGUUUUCUUCUUCCUCUUGUCAUGGGGUGACUUUUUCUUCUCUCUUCUGAUUAGUUUCUUCAGUCAGGUCAUGGUUAUUAGUUUCUUCAUAUGGCCGAAUGUCAAAUUCAUGUUGAAGACAAAACUUGGGGCCCAAGGCAAAAUUCAAAAUCAUGGUAUGAUCGACCGAAGGCUAAACUCAAACUCGUGAUCUCAGACUAUACUCAUGGCUGAAGGCCGAAUUCAUGAUCGAAGAUCAUACUUAUGGUUGAAAAUCAUACCCAAGAAACUCCACAUGCUUGUAAUCAAAGAUCAUAUGCAAGUCACACAUAAAAUUUCACACGCAAUGACCUCCCACAUAUAAAUUAGCUUUGUUGUGCUAGAAAGUUGACUUUUAUUCGAGCAGAGUUCUUUAAAGAGAGUAGUUAGCUGAUUAGAUUAGUUUGUUAUUAGUUACUAUUGUAAGUAAUUAGUUAGAGCUGUUGUAACAGCCUGUACAGAUGGCUUUAUCUAUUGUAUAGAGUAGACAGGUGUUAUAUACUCUUCUGUAAUCUUUUCUCAAUUAAUUAAUGAGAAUCAUAAAUUCCUUUAUGGUAUCAUACGCCUAUUCGAUCCUCUCUCCCUUUUCUUCCAACCUGUGAUUUUCUCACCAACCAAACAGUGCUUUUCUCAUCAACCAAACAGUUUCUUCCGCUCUGAUUCUCUUAUUUCCAUGGCUUCUGAGACCAAUUCUUCUUCUUCUGUGCCUUCUGUCUCUCUCACAUCGUCUUCAAUCCCUGCUUUUGCGACUGUUACUGUUCAAAACAUCACAGGCAUGGUUCCGAUCAAGCUUCAAGCUGGCAAUUAUUUGCUGUGGAAGAAUCUUUUUCUUCCUGUUCUUCGCAAAUACAAGCUCCUUGGCCUUCUCAUCGGUGCUGAUCUACGGCCGUCGAAGACAAUUGUUAACAAUGCUGAUUGCAUUGUUGAUAAUCCCACCUUCGAUCUGUGGUAUGAUAAGGAUCAAUCACUCAUGAUCUGGAUCAUCUCCACUCUCUUGACGGAUUUGCUAUCUCAUACGGUUGGCAUUGAGUAUUCUCGUGAUCUCUGGGAGAUGUUGGAAAAACGUUUUGCUGAAGUCUCUCGUGCAAAUGUUCAUCAUCUUCGUCAGCGUCUUCAGAAUCUUGUCAAAGGGGAUCUGUCUAUGGUUUCCUAUCUGCAACAGAUGAAGGAAAUUGCUGAUGGCUUGGGCGAUGCUGGUCAUCCUCUAACUGAUGAUGAUUUGGUGGCUUACAUUCUUGUCGGUCUAUCUGAAGAGUACGAUUCCUUCGUCACUUCUAUUGAAACUCGUCGGGAAAAAGUUUCCUCUGAUGAACUUCACAGUUACCUUCUCGGUCGUGAAGCUGCUCUUCUGAAGCGCAAACUCCAAUCCAAUUCCUCUGGACCUACGGAACCGUUUCAUGCUUAUGUCGCCACUCCUCGUUCUUCACAGCACUUUUCUCUGUCACGUGGUUACAACAACUUUAACUCUCAACAUCGAGGUUUUCCUCCCACACGUGGUCUGCUUCCGUCACCGCCCUCCAAUUUUGCCCCAAAUUUUUCUUCUCCUCCACAAUUUGGUGCGCAAGGGUUUCACAGCCCCAAUUUUUCUUGAAAUUCAAGCCCUGGGGGUGGUAAUUCCAAUUUAGGAGGUUCUUCUUCAUUCAAUUCUGCUGGUUUUUCUUCUGGCCCUAUUCUUGUGUGUCAGUUUUGCAACAAGAAAGGUCAUGCCGCUAACACUUGUCGCAAAUUGGGCCGUCUGCUCAAUGCUUCUGGCAGUUCUUCAUCUUCUGGACCAUUUACUGGCUACUAUGCUAAUCCACAGUCUGCUGCUUCCUCUCCUUCUUGGAUUGUUGACUCUGGCGCUACUGCUCAUGUGACUGCUACCAAUCAGCACCUGCAGAAUUCUUCUCCAUGCACUGGCUCUGACUCUUUGCAAGUUGGUAAUGUUCAUUGCUUACCCAUGUCUCACACUAGUUUUACCCACAUACACACUCCUUCUACUGUUUUUACUUUAAAGGAUGUGUUACAUGUUCCUUCUAUUAAACACAAUUUGUUAUCGGCAAAUAAGUUUCUUCGUGACAACUCUUGUUCACUAACGCUCUAUCCUGAUUCCUUCACAAUUAAGGACUUAGCUACGAAGAGGAUGCUCUUCCAAGGUCUCAGUGAGGAUGGUGUCUAUCGACUUCCUGCUGGUCCUGCAGCUCCUUUUUCAUCAAGCCCUUCAAUUGCUUUUCUGGCUAAUAAAUGUGAUAUCCUCACUUGGCACAAGAGGUUGGGUCAUCCUUAAUUUUCUUUAUUUCGCAAGAUUGUUAGUGGCAAUCAUCUACCUGUUAGUGGUGACUUGUCUGAGUCCUUAAUAUGUUCUGAUUGUAUGGUUGGGAAAGCUCAUAAGCUUCCUUUUGUUGGUUCUGCACAUAAGUCCACCAAGCCUUUAGAGCUUGUGCAUUCAGAUGUCUGGGGUCCUAGUCCCACUGUUUCAGCUCUUGGUUAUAAGUACUAUGUUUUGUUUCUGGAUGAUUACACUAAAUACGACUGGUUGUAUCCUUUGAAAUAUAAAUCAGAUGUGCUUGCAACUUUUAAAGUGUUUAAGGCCAAGUUAGAAAACUUGUUGAACUCUAGGAUCAAGAUCUUGAUGAGUGAUUCAGGUGGUGAAUACUUAAGUACUGCUUUCCAAGAUUUUUUAAACACAGAAGGUAUUGUGCAUCAAUUGAGUGUCCACACACCCCUGAACAGAAUGGCAGUGCCGAACGCAAGCACAGGCAUAUUGUUGAGCUUGCUGGGACACUGUUUGCUUCUUCUUUCGUUCCACAUCGCUUUUGGGUAGAUGCUUUUCAAACUGCCUUGUAUCUCAUCAAUUGGUUGCCCUUUACUUCUUCUACACAGUCUCCUUGGGAAUUGUUGUUUAAACACACUCCAAAUUAUACUACUUUGAAAGUGUUUGGUUGUCUCUGUUUUCCUUGGUUACAACCAUGUAGUUCCUCAAAGUUGGAUCCUAAAAGCAGGCCUUGUGUCUUUCCUGGAUAUAGCUUAAAUCAUUCCGGUUAUAGAUGUCUGGAUAUUUCUACUGGCAAGCUUUUUAUUUCCAGGCAUGUUCUUUUUAAUGAAACAUCUUUUCCUUUUGCAACCCAAGCUCCCCCUAUUUCAUCUUCUCCUAUCUCUGCUUCUUCAGUUCCUAUUUCUCUUACUUUUUCUUUCCCGAUUUCUCCUACUUCUCCUUCCUCUUCACAAUCCCCUAGUUCCAUUUCUCCUUCUUCUGAAUCUGUUCAUUCUUUACCUUCUCAAGAACAAAUACUUCCUUUUCUCCCUUCUCAGGAAUCUGUAGUUCCUUCUUCUCCUAAUUGUCAUCCUAUGGUUACUCGAUCAAAAAGUGGAAUUUUUAGGCCCAAGGCUCUCUCUGCAACUAAGCACCCUAUUCCUACUUCUGUUCAGUCUACUGCUUUAAUUCCUCCUACUCCUCAGACUUAUAAGCAAGCAGCAACCCACAAAGUUUGGAUUGCUGCCAUGGCCUCUGAAAUUGCUGCUCUUCAAAAGACUUAGACAUGGACCCUGAUACCUCCCAAUCCCUCUUAUAAUUUAGUGGGUUGUAAGUGGGUUUUUCGGACCAAGUUUAAAUCUGAUGGGUCUGUUGACAAGUUCAAAGCUCGUUUGGUUGCUAAAUGGUACAAUCAACAGGAAGGUAUUGAUUUUCAUGAAACUUUUAGCCCCGUGGCAAAACCUGUUACUAUUCGUCUUUUGUUAUCCUUAGCUGUGCAAUAUGAUUGGUUCCUCAAUCAACUUGAUGUCAGUAGUGCUUUUCUGCAUGGGUUCUUAAAGGAAUCUGUGUAUAUGAGCCAACCACCAGGUUUUCAUGAUCCCUCCAACCCUGAUUUUGUUUGCAAGUUGAAUAGGAGUUUAUAUGGUCUUAAGCAGGCGCCUCGGGCUUGGUAUGAGGAGCUCUUUAAAGCACUUAUUUCUCUGGGUUUCAGAUCAUCACAAGCUGAUUCCUCAUUGUUUGUUAAGGGUGGCUCUUCUUUAAUCCUAGUUUUGGUUUAUGUCGAUGACAUUAUUGUGACUGGGAACAAUAAUGCAGCCUGUCAAGCUCUUAUUCAGCAACUUAGUGAAAAAUUUCCUGUCAAAGACUUGGGCCCUUUGCAUUUUUUCCUUGGGUUAGAGGUUAAACGCACUGCUUCUGGUUUAUUCUUGUCUCAGACUAAAUAUGCUUGUGAUCUUCUCCAGCGAACUGAUUUUCUUGGUACCAAACCAUGUGCCACUCCCUUGGGGUCCUACAAAUUAGACAAUUCUGGAAUGUUGCUUUCUGAUCCUACUUUCUAUAGAUCUACCGUUGGUGCUCUUCAAUACUUGACAUGGGCACGGCCUGAUUUGUCCUUUGCUGUAAAUUUGGUAUGUCAGCAUCUUCACCAACCUCGCACUAAUCAUUUGGGUGCUGUAAAGAGAAUCCUUAGAUAUCUUAAAGGUUCUCUUGAUAUGGGAAUCUGUUUUCGCAAAGGCCCCCUUGUUAUGCAGGCCUAUUCUGAUGCAGAUUGGGCAGGAUGCCCCUUGGAUCGUCGGUCUACUAGUGGUUGAUGUGUUUUUCUCGGUUCAAAUUUAAUUUCUUGGUCUGCCAAGAAGCAACCUACAGUUUCUCGCAGUUCUACUGAAUCUGAGUACAGUGGUAUUGCCAUGACUGUUGCUGAACUUGUUUACAUUGCUAAGCUGUUUAAAGAUAUUAGUUUUCAGCUUCUUUCUGCUCCGUUACUUUGGUGUGAUAAUCAAUCUGCCCUUCAUUUGGCUUCUAAUCCUGUUUUUAGUGCUCGCACAAAACAUGUUGAGGUUGAUUAUCAUUUCAUCAGGGAGUUGGUUCAGCAUGGUAUUCUUCAUUUACGGUUUGUUGCCACUACUAAUCAGCUCGCAGAUAUCUUUACAAAGUCUCUUCCUUCUGCCCGACAUGCUUAUCUUCGUUCCAAGCUUACAGUGUGCAAUCCCUACUUCAGCUUGCGGGGGGCUAAAGAGAGUAAUUAGCUGAUUAGAUUAGUUUGUUAUUAGUUACUCUUGUAAGUAAUUAGUUAGAGCUGUUGUAACAGCCUGUACAGGUGGCUUUAUCUAUUGUAUAGAGUAGACAGGUGUUAUAUACUCCUGUAAUCUUUUCUCAAUUAAUUAAUGAGAAUCAUAAAUUCCUUUAUUCUUGACUUAAUUUCUUCCUAUAGCAUGCGUAUGUUUCACUAAGGCUAUAUUAUUCGUCUAUAUUAGCCGCCAAGUAUGGGAUUACAAAUCUUGGUGAUUCCUAUAGCAUGGUUUUGAUCACUUUUACAUACUAAAUUUUAGAUAGAUUGAUAUCUUCGACGUUUCAACAAGUACCUGCAAUUGUAUCAUAUACAUCAAUUAUUAGUGUUGCCUGAAAUUUAUAUUUGAUGAUGAAAAUUUAAUUCUGUGUAUUUGCUUCUGGGGUGCAUUGCCCUCCCCACCCCAGUUCACAAAGAAAAAAAUGACACUGUUUGUCUCUAGAAUUCGAUGAUGAAAAUUUUCCUCUUAGGCAGUCAAUAUUAGCCUUGGAAGUUCGCAUAAUUGCUUUUUGAAUGCUGGGUAUACCCAUAACUAAUCCUACGUUGAAGUCCAAUUCUAUACUUUAUAAGACUCAACAAACCCUAACCUAGGCUGAUUUCGAUUGAAUUCAAUCAAAAUCAAAUUAGAAAUACACAUAAAAUCUAGAUUCAAUUAAUACAAUUAAAUCAGACAUGCAAAUGGAAACCAAAUUCAAUCAAAUAUAAUCAAACAACAUAGAAUCUACAAAAAUAACCCCAAUAAAAUCAAGAUAAGCAAAUCUAGAAUCCAAAUCAACUCUAAAGCUAUAAGAAAACUCAUAAUCAAGCAUUGGGGGUUAGGGCUUUAGAGAAUCGCACCUUUGGAAUGUCACUGAGAAUUCAGCUUUGAAGCAAUAGGGCUCCAGCAAUAGUCUUCUCCCGAAAGAGGAAUUGGAGCUCUUGAUUAACGACACGCAGAGAGAGAAUCCAGAAAUUGUGAGAGAGAGAUGGAGAGAGAAGUGAAGAGAACAUUCAUGUAUGAAUGAAAAAUAAAACGAGGGAAAUUAUGUUUUUAGCGGAUUGCAAUUAUAUCGGAGGUUUUCGGCAAAAAAAAAAAAAUAUUUGAAUUACAAAUUACUACAUACUCAGUCGCACGCUGUAAUAUAUAUAUAUAUAUAUAACACGGCUUAUAUUCAAUCACGUCGUUAAAAGACACAAAAAUUACCUUUUUUAAGGCGCGUGUUUCAUAUGCUGUAAAUAUUAAUUAUUAACGGCACGCUUUACUAUCUUUGUAAGGCGUGCUUUGUCAUAUGCCGUAAAUGUCAAUUAUUAACGACUCACACAAAAAAUGUGCUGUAAAUAUCAAGUUGUAAAAGCUUCAAUUUCGUAGUGGUAUGAUAAUAAUUGCCUUUUUAAUACUGAUAUUAUAGUACUCUUAAACUGCUAUUCUGUUGUACAUUGUCUACCUGUUUAUUUGUUUGUUUUCAAUUAGUUUUUCGGCAAUCAAGUAUUCAUUUAUACAUGAUUGUCUACUUUCUUGUUAUUUUUUGUUUUGGCAGGAGAACCUUUUAUUACUGGUGAAACAGUACCAUAAGAUCCCAAGUACCAUGAGGAAUGGAUAAGAAAGAAUAGCCGAGCAAACGAGAGAAACAGACGCAAUGACAGACCUUGAAAUUAUGACAGAUCAAGGAACUUUGAUAGGAGGAGGGAAAAUAUGCAGAACCGAGAUUUUCAGAACAGGGGUCAGCCUCCUGUGCCUAAUCAAGCUGGGCAAAAUCCUGGGCCUAACAUGCCUGGACCUGCCAACUGUAACACCCCGACCCCGAAUUUUCCCAAAUUUUACCCUUAUUUAAUUAUUUAAUUAUUUAAGGGUAUUUUAGUCAUAUUUUUAACCGGAGAGAGUUUGGGACCGCGACUUAUAUUUUUGGAUAGGUCGUACUGAGACGAGUUCAUGGACACUGAGUGGGCUCGAAUCGGAGUUGUAACGAGAGAGAUAUGGUCAAAAGAAGCCCAGUGGCAUAAUCGUAAAUAUUUCGAAAUGGGAUUUUUUUAUAAAAUCAGAUUUUUUUCUCUCUCUCUCUCUCUCUCCCGCGCGACCUCUCUCUCUCCCGUUUGCUGCCGUCGCCUUCCAAGAGGCGCCGGCGCCGCCACAGGGCACCACCGGCCACGGGACUGGUGGCGUUCGAACCGCCGCCGUCCCUCCUUCCUUCCCCGACCGUUCCCCACCGGCGACGCGGCCUGUGCUGGCCGGAAAAUGCAGAAAAAACGCCGGGAAGUCGUCGAAACUUCAACGCCGUCGAUCUCCCUCCUCCGGCCACCAAUUCCGUCGAUCCAGGUAUGGAUUUUGAACCUCUCGAGCUGUUCUAGCUGCCUGUUGGUUGGGUUUUGAUCGAUUCGAUCUCUAGAUCACUCGAUUUUCGAAUUGAAAAUCGGCCGAAACUUCGGCCGCCGUGAUCGGCCAUUUUCGGCCACUUUUUGGGGUAGGUUCAAGAACAAAAGUGGCUCCAAAUAGGGUGUUAUACCUAGGGUCGGAGUUUGGAGCCGUGGUUUUGAGAUUUUCCAGCGAAGCGUUAUCGCUUUGGGCACCCACGCGCUGUCGGCGCGUGCGGUGGCGCGUGGGCACUGUAUAAAAAGUAGCGAUGUGUUCCGAUGAGAUCCUUAGGUUGUCACGAGUGCGUAGGAUUUUGCGGAUCUCAAUUCGGACGUCGUUUGACUAUCGAACGGAUAUUCGCAUAUUGCGCGUUAUCCGGGUUCGAUAGGUUGGGACCGUUGGAUGGUCCCAAAUUUAAUAUAUAUUGAUUUAGGUAUUUCUAGGAUCGUGUAGGAAUUCACGGAUCUUGAAUCGGAGCCCGGAUGUUCCGAAUAAUAAUUUUAAGUUUAUAUUUUAUAUUAACCGUCAGAUCGUGCGAUCGUGAGCAAUCCGACCGUCCGAUCUGAACCAAACUUGCAGGACAAGUGUCCUAUACCUGGUAGAACCCAUAGGGACUUCCGGAUCGGAAAUUGGAGGUCGUGGGUUUUGCAGGUCCGGUUGACCAGGGUUAGAGUAGUUUGACCCUUGGUUGACCGUGAGUCUCCCGGAGUAAUCUCACCUUUCUAGGGGGGAUUAUCGGGUGCUAGACCAUUGUGGAGGGUUACACAAUAUAAGAAUUAAUUUAUAUAAUUGUGGAGGGUCACAUAAUCUCUCCCGUUUAGAAUGUCAGUUUGGAGUGCUAUACGCACUACUUUAGGUACCUCCCCGGAUGUUGGAUUCACUACAUGCACCACCAAGUGAAAGUUAGGUCCCACGUGGCGUAGGUUAUCCGGCGUUGGGACAGACCCCAUACGUGGCGUUGGUUGUACCGGCGUAUGGGGAGAUUCGUAAUAUGAUGUUCAGGUCUCACGUGGCGUAGGUUAUCCGGCGUUGAGACAGGCCCCGUACGUGGCGUUGGUUGUACCGGCGUACGGGGAGAUUAUGUGAUAUUGUGUAAGGUCGCACGUGGCGUAGGUUAUCCGGCGUGUCGACAGACCCCAUACGUGGCGUUGGUUGUACCGGCGUAUGGGGAGAUUUGUGAUAUGAUAUUGAGGUCCCGCGUGGUGUAGGUUAUCCGGCGUUGGGACAGGCCCCAUACGUGGCGUUGGUUGUACCGGCAUAUGGGGAGGUAUUAUGAUAGUAUGGCAUGGUCGCACGUGGCGUAGGUUAUCCGGCGUGUUGACAGGCCCCAUACGUGGCGUUGGUUGUACCGGCGUAUGGGGAGAAUAUGCGAAAUACAGAAAAAUGAAAUAAGGUAUCGCCCAAGUGUGGGAUUGGGUUUUAGGGAAGAACUACGUGUGGCUUGAUCCCUCAAGGAGGGUACGUAGGCAGCCUAAGGUUAUUAGGUGCAGCCGCAGACUAAAUGUGAGUCAUACUUGGUAUUUGAAUGGUCUGGUAGUUGAAUAGGAAUUAUUGAAAGGCCGAAGGCCAUUUGUGUGAAUUGCAUGAAAUUAUAUUGUGCAUGCUGCCAUUUGGGAAUAUUAAAUGCGUUUUUAUGCAGGUUGAAAUUUUGGGAAAUGUCCAAAUUAUAGGGGAGACUCCGUCGAAAUUUCGGCAGGAAGUCUCGGUUUUUAGUGAGUGGGCCUGACAUCGGGGUGAUGUCAGGAGUUCCAAAGGGUUCGUCUCAGAUUUUGAGAAAAUUCGGGGCGGGUCCUUAAACCAACAACAUGAGGACUCCCAACAAUAUGGGCCCCUUGCCCCCCAACGCGGGUCCAAUGCCUCCCCACAACACGAGGGGGCUAGAAUGCAGAGGUUAUUAUGAGGAGGUUAUGUGCGGAAUGAUAACAACCAUCAGUUUUAAAUGAACGGUUCAGAUUUAAGUAGGAAGUUUUUUUACAAUCGGGUUAAAAUUACCCAUCACAAAAUGAGCAACCCGGAACUUCUCUCUCAUAUCUCCUAUUUUCUUUGAAACAGAGGUCCAAAGUCCUACGUCUGAAACUUCCUCUGGAGACAAACAAGAGCUGCCCCUUUCCAACUUCCAGAAGCCGAAUUUGCUGCUCCAAAAAGAAAAAAAAACGAAGACACUCAGCUGUGGAGGACGUUGCUGAAGAAGAAGGAACAAGGGUUGAAACCCACAACUCAAUUCUUUCACUGGUAUGUGAUUUUUCAGCCCUAUUGCAAACCCUUUUAUUCAAAAAAUAUUCUGUUUUGUUAAACCUCUGUGAUUAAUGUUGCAGAAAAUGGUUCAUCAUUACCCAUUACAUCAACUAUAACCUAAGAUCUCUCUUAUUCUGUAACCUCUUCCUCUUCUCCCUAGUCUCUUUCUCUUCCUUCUUCAAACCUCACAGAAAAUCCAUUUCCAUCGUAGAAUCUCGCUUAAUUCAAUUUUCACUUAGUUAUAUCUUCAAACUAAGAGCUAAUUUGAAUCUUAAGGUUGAACCCCAAAUUCAUAAUCGAACCCUAGCCAAGGUGCGACUCGCCACCUCCGUCGUCGGCCUCCAAAACGAAGCCAUAAUCGUGACUCUCCACCUUCGUCGUCGACUUCCACCACAAACCUCAUCUUCGAUCUUCACUGUGGUGAGUCCUAAUAUUGGUUUUACUUUUCUUUUUUUUUUUUGUUUGGGUUUCUGUUAUUGAUUGAGAUUAUUGGGUGAUUACUUUCACUAUUUUGAAUGAGACAUUAACGGGUUUCUGUUGUGGUUUGUUUGUUGUUUCUGUGAUUGAAUGAAAUUUACCAACUAUUUCCUGUGGUUGUCAAGCUCUUGGACUUGGAUACACUGUUUUGUGCUUAUGAUUUGUCUAUGAAAUCAUGCAUACAUUGUUUUGUGAUUAAGGCUUGGACUUGCAGACCUCCUUGAAAGUGGUGUAUUCACUCUUUUGUGAUUGUGAUUUGUUUGUGAAAUCACUUAGGUGAUAUAUCAAAUUAGGACUUCUGGCUUUUCUGAGCAACCUGUAAGAAUACAUAUAAAACUCAUAGAUGCUCUCUGAAAUAACAGUAAUGUAUGUUCUAACCUUUGAAACCAGUAGCACCAGCAACAAAUGCAAGAUUCUCAUUGUUUACUUCUUUUGAAUGUGAUUGGAGAGUUUGUAAGUUUUAUGAGAAUGCCAAUAUUUUAACAUAUUUUUGAUACUGUAAAGUUGGCAUAUGUUGGAUCUUUAUUUUCUCUAUUGUUUUGGUGCAGUCUACAAUCCUCAAGGUUGGUAUCGUGCCAAGGUUGUGUUGGUGCCGUGAAACGGGUUCUUGGAAAGCUUGAAGGUUUGUUGAUAACUCUUGCAUUUAUCUAGUUCCAUUGUCUUGCUCUUCUUUUUCUCUGAGACUAUGCUUCUUUAACUGUUUGAACAAUGCCAAAUGCACUAUUGAUGAUUUCCUAAUUUGUAUUUUUGUUCGUCUGCCAAGACACACAUUCACUUCACCCAUGUUUAUUACUUUUGAAUUGCAAUUGAGUGUAUGAAAUUGUGUGCAUGAAUAUGAACUUUAAUUUUACAAUGGUACUGUCUUGUGAAAGUUUGCCAUAUGAAGAAUUGGGUCAUUUAGAAAAGCCAACAAUCUAUAUGAAUUUCAGCAUUGGUUUUUGUUUUGAAAUUGGUUUUAGUUGUGAUUGAAUGUUAUGUUUUUGUUUCCACUGUGAUUGAAUGAUUUGCUUCUAAUAUGCAUUUUUGAUCCAUUUUAUACAGAUGGAAGAUUGUCUUGUUUCAAUUGGCGGCGUUCUUUUGGGUAGGAAAUUGCUAACUUUCAGCUUAAAUUCGGGUCUAAGAGGACAUGUCUUGGAAUUUUUCUUAUACAUAUGAAUUGUGUUAAAAUUCUAGACCAAGAGGAGACGAAAUUUUUUUGGAAUUUUUUGGAAUUUUUCUUAUACAUAUGUAUAUAAUGUGCUCUCUUCAAUUAAUAAUAUAAAUAAAAGUAUUUUUCCAUUGCAUACACUUGCAAAUAUAUACAAACAACAUAUUCAAGACAGAAAUUUCUCAAGUAAAUUAAACUCAAUUUCAUUCCAUGAGGACUAAAUAAUUACAUGGUCUGUCUGACACACAAAUAGUUCCUUAAUUACAUGUUUUUUUUCCUUAUAACUAUAGUACACUUCCCGUAUAUCUAUUUUUAAAAGUAUGUUGGAAUAAAUUUAUAGAGGGAGUAUGAAGUUUGUGUAUUGCCAUUGUAUAGCCUUUUAUUGCUUGUGUAUUGCUACUGUAUUGCCAUCGUAUAGCCUUUUAUUGCCUGUGUAUUGCCCCCGUAUAUCNNNNNNNNNNNNNNNNNNNNNNNNNNNNNNNNNNNNNNNNNNNNNNNNNNNNNNNNNNNNNNNNNNNNNNNNNNNNNNNNNNNNNNNNNNNNNNNNNNNNNNNNNNNNNNNNNNNNNNNNNNNNNNNUUGCUAUCAAUCUAUAUGAAUUUCAGCAUUGGUUUUUGUUUUGAAAUUGGUUUUAGUUGUGAUUGAAUGUUAUGUUUUUGUUUCCACUGUGAUUGAAUGAUUUGCUUCUAAUAUGCAUUUUUGAUCCAUUUUAUACAGAUGGAAGAUUGUCUUGUUUCAAUUGGCGGCGUUCUUUUGGGUAGGAAAUUGCUAACUUUCAGCUUAAAUUCGGGUCUAAGAGGACAUGUCUUGGAAUUUUUCUUAUACAUAUGAAUUGUGUUAAAAUUCUAGACCAAGAGGAGACGAAAUUUUUUUGGAAUUUUUUGGAAUUUUUCUUAUACAUAUGUAUAUAAUGUGCUCUCUUCAAUUAAUAAUAUAAAUAAAAGUAUUUUUCCAUUGCAUACACUUGCAAAUAUAUACAAACAACAUAUUCAAGACAGAAAUUUCUCAAGUAAAUUAAACUCAAUUUCAUUCCAUGAGGACUAAAUAAUUACAUGGUCUGUCUGACACACAAAUAGUUCCUUAAUUACAUGUUUUUUUUCCUUAUAACUAUAGUACACUUCUUGCAACAGAAUGGAAUGUUGUCCCACCCCAAAUUGAUGAAGAUUCUCAAUGACAACAAUCUUCUAGAAGCCAACAAUAAUCUUGCUCCAACUGUUAUGAAAAAAAAAAUGUCAAUUAUCUCAAGACUUAAGAGUUAGGGUUUUAAAUCGCUAGAGACCAAGCUUGUGGGAUAUGGGCCGUGACAUGAUCACGUACUCUACCAAUUGUUGCUUCACCUUCCCAAAUUCAUCCAUCAUCUUCCUCUACAACAGAAACAAAAUAAAGCAAAAUCAAUAUGUACAUAUAUAAAUAUGUAUAUACAGAGUAAUACAAAAGACAAAUUGGUACUAAUGAGGUAGAUCUUUGAUAUGCUCUAUUGGAACAAUCACUUUCCUUUUAUUGCUAUAUAUGCAGAUGCGCAAAAGCACAAACAAGCCCAAUUUAAAAUCUCCUACUUACGUAUCAAGAAAAGACUCAAAGCAGACUAAGUUUCUUAUAAAAAUAGAGUUCAUUAUUUUUCGUCUGUGCUUCAUUCGUAACUUAUAACUCACAUGGUAUCCAAAAUUUCACGCAGUGCAUCAAAACUCAAUCAAGUUAACUCUGGAACAAUGAGAGAACAACAAUAUUAAUCAAUGAAAGAAUUAUGAAAGAGGCUAUCAUUGAUCAACAACAUUAACUCCAGAACAUAGACACCACAGAGGUAUGCAGUACAAUUUACUUUCAUUCAAUUUCUACACAAAAAUAAUCUUUUAGAUUGAUAUAGUCAUUCAUUGCAAACUGAAAUUUCACAACCAUGAGAAUAAUGCCAAGAGGAAGAGUAUCAUAUCACCUCAAAAUUGGAAAACAUCUAAUGGACGAGGAAAAGCAAACCUACCAAGCACAAGACGAAAAGCCUUACUGCUCAAGCUUGAUCAGUGCAUAUCUACAUGGGCGUUAACCCCCGUAUGAUCAUAUUGCUUAUUUUUUCUAUUCUUGGCAUUGGCUUUGCACCAUUUAUGUUUUCACAGUACAUGAAUUGUUCCAAAUUAAAAACUUCAAACCGCAGGUCCUAAUUAUAGGCAGUAAAUUAUGACUUAAUAAAAAAUAGUCAUUGGAGUUGGAUCUGGGAAGCUGAAAGCAUCACAUGGCUCAAAGAAACCAAAUCAGGGGACCACGUACAACAGGGGCUGUUGUGCUAGCUAGUACUGCAGGGCAGGGUAGGGCAGGGCAAGGCAGGGCAGGGCAUGGCAAGGGACAUUUGGAUGCAAAGGCUAGAGAUAUAGACCCUUUCUUUUAGGUAAAUGAGGAAGACGAAGCAGCAGCAAAACCUGGCCAUGUGAAGUAGCAGCAUCAGACCCUUUCUAUGUUUCUUUUGUUUGUUCACAUACUUUUUUGCCAUAUCAUGGCCCUUAGAAUUCCUGCAAAAUAAUAACAUGAACUUUAUUUCUCAAUUUCACAAUGACACAAAACAGUGUAGUAUUAACUUGUUCACAGCACAAGUUAAAUGGCGAUGUCGAAAUGAAAGAAACUCAAGGCAUGACACAAAAGUUGAAAAAUAAGAAAAUAAAUCUAAUAGAAUUCCAAAUAUCAAAUGACACAACCAAGUAUCCAUUCACUAUAAACUGACAUAAUAUGGCACUUGUGUAAGUCUUCAUGUAAAAACAGGGACAUUUCUCAAGCAUUGUUAAAAGGUAAUUAAACUAAUGUCAAUGGCGAUCUAACAAAACCAUUAUGCACUGUAAAGACAUCUUCGUAAACAAAUUAUAAUAAAACUCACAUGUGCUUCCUUCCAUUUAGAUGGGUUUAUUGGGUCCUCCUAGAAGUUCACCUUUAAGUAUAUACCAUGAGAAUUGUCCCAAUUGGUUUGUAUCUCAAAGAAAACCAUAGUGCGCCUCAUUAAGGUGAUUCAUCGAACACCUACAGGCCAUUUUUUCAUGCACUCAUCAACUCAGCCUAACCAAACAAAUAGAACCAUAUAUUCAGAACAAGCAAAUAAGCAUGAUAAAUAAAACGAUGUAGCAAGAAUUUGGAUUUUGAGCAACUUUCUAGACCACUAUAUGAAAUUGAAACAAUCAGAAGAAAACCCAAAUAACAUAUGGGUAUGAAAAUAAAGGCGAAAAGUUGAACUGGGUACCUGGGACGUCAUCUCUAGGUAUAUGGAUUUCAGGAAUGCUGAAGAAAUUGAGAAAUUUAUUGAACCGGAGGGGAAGAACGGCGGUUGAAAUAGGUGACAGAGAGUGAGAGAUGGAGGUGUUGAACAGCGGCCGAAAGAGAGAGAGAGUGAGGUUGUCGUUGCUGAUGUGGGUUCUGAGGAGGUGACAGUUGCCGUCGCCGAUGUGGGUGAAAGGGAGAGAGAAAACAGACGAGAGAAGAGGUGAGUGAGGCAACAGAGAGAAGAAUAAUAAAAGAGAGAAGAAAAAUAAAAGAAAGAGGGAGACAACCGAGAGAAAAGAGAAAAACUAAUUAAAAUAAGAGAGAAAGAGAGAGAGAAGAAGGUAGACAUUGAGUACUUCGAUUGUGAAUAGCAUUGCUCAACGGGUAAUGCCAACCCGGUUGUAGCAUAAAGCGGAUACUAAUGUUAGCCAUUUGAUCAAUCUAAUGGCCUAGUUAUCAUUCCGCACAUAACCUCCUCACAAUAACCUCUGCAUUCUAGCAGCUCCCCUCACGACAUGGGUCCAAACUACAGUAAUGUGCAGCAGCCAAACAACUGGAGUGGUGGGCAGCCCAACAACAAUAACAAUCAAAGUUGGCCUCUUACAUGCUUGCCCGACAACAAUAGUAUUUGUACAUCUUUUUCACCGAGAAAGUGAAAUACGUUUCAUAUUUGGAAGUUAGAAAAUCUUGUGUUUAUAAGGAGUUGGACUAUUUCUCUAGGGCUCGUCAAUGGGCCGUGCCGGGCUAACCCGGCACAAAUUUAAUGAGCUUGAGCCGGACCGGGCCGGGCUUUAAAGAGGAGAGGAAAAAAUAUUGGGCCGGACCGGGGCCGGGUUUUUUAGAAAAUUCAAAGCCCAAGCCCGACCCAUGAGCCAAGCUUAAGAAAGCCCAUAUGGUCGGGCCCAACUAAACGCAACGGGCCAGGCCUAAACGGGCCCUCCUUCAUUAAAAAAAAAAUCAUAAACUUAAUCAUAAAGGCAUUUUAGUUCAAAUUUGAGAUUAAACUUACUUAAUUCCAAUAUUUUCACUUCAACAAAUCUGUAUUUAGCUUAAACAAAAAAUUUGUACUGUAUUAGCUAUAGUCUAUAAACAUUUUGGGAUAUUAAAUCUUGUCUUAAUGCACAGUUAGGUCAUAGUGGGAUUCUCAUGAGUUCGUCACUCAUAUGUAUGGGGUUUCCUUUUACCAAUUGCUGAUGCUGUGUAAAAAUGUACUUCGGAUUAUUGUCUGAGCUAACAGAGAAGUUAUGCCGGGUCAGUUUCGAAUACCCAACCCCGCCACGCGACAAAAGGAACCAAUGCUAUUUCAUAUUUGAUUGGUAGAAGUGCAUAACUUCUCCACAUACGGGAGUGAUCAAUUCAAUACAUGUCCAAUGUUUUAGGUGGCUUCGAUAAGCGCUUGAAAGAAGAUGCUGAGUACUUGAAGGAGCUCAGAAGUUUAGCAGAAAAGGAAGGAGUGUCCAAUCAGGUUAACUUCCAUCACAUCUUGCUCAACAGCUGACAGAUUCAUUCUCUACAAAAAUAUUUGGUUGGCAUUUGAAUCAAUACCUUGUUGACGUUGCUGGGAUGAAAGAAGGCUGAAGACUGCAUGACCUUGUAGUAUGUUGAUGCUCAAAAUGGUUCAGCCAAGAUUGAGUCCAACUUAGUGAUGAGGUGUGAUGGAUGAUGGAUGAAGGUGAGGACCUUCACCAAGUGUGUGAGGAUUUGGGAAAACGAUAAACAUAUAAAAGACAAGAUAUACGUGGUUCACCCGAAUGAUGGGCUACGUCCACGGAGAAGGGUGUUCUCAUUAUGAUAAUGUUUGUUUACAUUUGUACAAGGGGAUUAGACCCAAAUAUAAAGAUAACAAGUGAGAAGCCCAGUCUAGUGAUCUAGAAGAGAGAGUCCAAGCCUAAGGGUCUAGAUCCAAGACCCGGAUCCUCUUCUAAGGAAAGAGUAGUCUUCUUUUAUAGGUGAGGGGGAGUCUUCAUCUCUUGUAGUUUUCCGAUGUGGGACUCCUCUUGCUUUGCUUAGAGUUGUGAUUUGUGGUGAUGUGUCUUUGGCUAAGGUGAUGACCUCUCAAAGCAUGGCACUCGAAUGAUCUAGCCUAACUAGUUGCUCGGUCAGUUAUGGUACAAACAGUAGUCCCCUAAGUUCUCAAGUAAGAAGAUACUUCUUGGUUGGGGACUUGUAAUUUUAAGUGCACUAGCCGAGCAACACCAUAGUUCAUCUUCCAAGCUGUAUAGUGCACUACCCAUAGUCCCCCAAGUCCCCGGGUAAGAAGGACAUCUGGAAGGGAGAGAACUUGGCACGAGGGUGCCGAAGGUGAAGGGGUUGCCGAAGGGACAAAGUUGCAUGUCUCAGGGUAAUGUGGUUGGGCACGAGGGUGCCGAAGGCAUAUGAAUUGCAUGUGUCAAGGCGAUGGGCUUAGGCACGAGGGUGCUGAAGGUGACACUAAGCUUGCAUGUUUGCAAGGCAAUGUGUUUAGGCACGGGGGUGCCAAAGACAAAGAGAAUGCCGAAGGAGACAUGAAGCUUGCAUGUCAUAAGGCAAUGUGGCUGGGCACGAGGGUGCUGAAGGCACAAAGCUUGCAUGUUGCAAGGCGAUGUGGCCUAGGCACAAGGGUGCCAAAGGCAUAAGACUUGCAUGUUGCAAGACAAUGGAGCUAGGCACGGGGGUGCCGAAGGCAAAGGGGAUGCCGAAGGCACAAAGCUUGCAUGUCGCAAGGCAAUGUGCCUAGGCACGAGGGUGCCGAAGGCAUAAGAAUUGCAUGUCGCAAGGUGAUGGGCCUAGGCACGAGGGUGCCGAAGGCAUAAUACUUACAUGUUGCAAGACAAUAGAGCUAGGCACGGGGGUGCCGAAGGCAAAGGAGAUGCCGAAGGCACAAAGCUUGCAUGUCGCAAGGCAAUGUGCCUAGGCACGAGGGUGCCGAAGGCAUAAGAAUUGCAUGUCGCAAGGUGAUGGGCCUAGGCACGAGGGUGCCGAAGGCAUAAGACUUGCAUGUUGCAAGACAAUAGAGCUAGGCACGGGGGUGCCGAAGGCAAAGGGGAUGCCGAAGGCACAAAGCUUGCAUGUCGCAAGGCAAUGUGCCUAGGCACGAGGGUGCCGAAGGCAUAAGAAUUGCAUGUCGCAAGGUGAUGGGCCUAGGCACGAGGGUGCCGAAGGCAUAAGACUUGCAUGUUGCAAGACAAUAGAGCUAGGCACGGGGGUGCCGAAGGCAAAGGGGAUGCCGAAGGCACAAAGCUUGCAUGUCGCAAGGCAAUGUGCCUAGGCACGAGGGUGCCGAAGGCAUUACAAAGCUUGCAUGUUUGCAAGGCAAUGUAGCGAGGCUUGGAAGUGCCGAAUGCAAAAGGGGAUGUCGAAGGCAUGAAGGUGCUGAAGGGAAGAAAUGCAUAUGUGCAAAUAAUAAUAAUAAUAAUAAUAGCUUUUUUUUUUUUUGGGAGCUGGGUCCGUAGGUUUUUUUUUUUUUUUUUUUUUUUGGGAGCUCGGGAGCUAGACCUUCGGCAGGCUGAGGCUGUUGAAAAUUUUGGGGGCUCUCCUCUCCUUCGAUGGUCCUUGCCGUUCGGCAAGGUCCUAGCCUUUUUUUUUUUUCGAGGCCGAGCCUUUGCCUUUGUGGGUUUGUUGGUGUUUCUUUCAUGGCCCUUGCCGUUCGGCAAGGGACCAAAGUGGUUUUGGCUAACGAGUUUGAGAGGGUUGGACCCGAGAUGGGCCUUGGCCAAAUGAGAAAAGAAUAGGAGCUAGGGUUUUGCAUUGUGAGAGAGGGAUAAAUAAAAAUUCACUGCCCCUGCCGUUCGGCAUGAAAUAGCUUAUUUCCUUCGGACCUAGGCUCUUAUUUCCUUCGGCAAGGGUGUCGGGUGCCGAGGCGAGGCUGGGCUGUGCCGUGAGUUUUGGGGGCUCCUGUCGAUCGGCAGGGGCGGUUGCGAAGAUGCUGGUCCGUCAGCAGUCGGGCACGUCCCUGAGGUUGCGGUAGGAGGGUGAAGCCGGGCUGCGUGGAUAUUUUGGCCAGACCUGGAGUUGCUACAACAGUCCUUGUGGGUGGGCGCUAGACGGCUCGACAUCAGUCCCUGCCGAACGGUAGGGUGGGCGUGACUUUUUGGUGAAGGGUUCGUGAUCUGAAGGGGGGUUACCUGUUCGUGUUUUGUGAGGGCCAGCAGCGGUGAUUUGGGAAGAGCUAGAUCUCUCUAUCUUCGGCAAGGCAAGGAAGGUGACCGAGCCUUCUUGUCUUCGGCAAGUCCGAUAAGGUUUAAUUUGGAGCUGGGCUGCACGAGCUGGCGAUUCGGUGUGGGUAUUUUCGUGAUCCCAACAAAUUUUGUGGGCCUUGCCGUUCGGCAAGGCCAGCUUGUGAGCUCGAGUUGCCCAUAUUUGUUUUUCUUAAUCCUUGCCGUUCGGCAAGGGCUUAUUUGGACUUGAACCCAUGUUUGAUGGGUUGUUGAAUUCCGGUGUAUACGUACUUGUUUGAUGUUUGCAGCAGGGUCCUUGGCAAGGCAAAAACAGGAGUUGAGGCUUCGGUGACCUUGGCUGGGGCUGAGGUGAGUAGUUUUCGGAGCUUUCAGCAACUUCCGCGUGGGCCUUGCCGUUCGGCAAGGCCUUCUGAAAUUCCUUUGUGCUUUUGUUUUUUGUCUUCGGCAAGUGGGCUGAUCCCAUGGGGGUGUGCAGAUUUGGAAGCCGGGCUGCGUGGGUCACGGCGGCUUGAUCUUGUUCUGAAAGUUAUCGGGGCUUGCGCAAGAGUGAUUAGCUUGGGAAGGGUCAGUGGAGCUGGGCUCAUUGAUUUUCGGCAAGAGGCGGACUGGUGGUGGCAGAUUCAGAAUCCGUGAGGCUGGGCCCUUUCGUUGGUGGAGUGCUUCUAGGCUUCGUGAGUUCGUAGUCUUGGUGGGCCUCCCAUUUUUUGUGCUCAACCCUUGUCGUUCGACAAGGGUGUGUUGAGCAAUUCUCUUUGUGGCGUUAUGUUUGUGAGGGCUGGCUGCGAGUUGCAGGUUGCUAGGGUAGGUCCAGCUAAGUACGGGUUUUUACUCGGCUGAACCCUUCCGUUUGGCAAGGGUGUCUUGAGCAAAUGGGUGUGCCAUUUGGUGUUCUGACUUUUCAUCCCAUAUUGGGACCUGGGCUUGUUUUAUCAGCAUAGUGCCGAUCGGCAAGAAGUGUUUGGCAAGAUCUCGCUCGGGAGGGUGGUUACGGCUUUGAGCUGAAGCAUGGGUAAGUCACCGACUGAUGGCAAAUGAGCUGGGCCUUUGUGGGUCGUCAGAGCUGGGCCAUUGAAGAUUCGGCAAGGCUUUGAAAGUGACGUGCCUAGGAUCCUGCUGUUCCGCAAAAAUCUUGAGAACUUGGCUGUAGCUUUUGGGUACCGACGGAGAGGACCAAGGAAUUGGAGCUGACGAUUUGCAAAAGGCUGGGCUUCGGUAAUGAGGCUGCAUAGUCGGCAAUGUGGCUGUACAAUCGGGAGGAGGCCGUGCAUGCGCGCGCUCUUUCGUAGCUUUCCGCAUAGCCCUUCGGCAUGACUCUAAAGCUGGGUUCGAUCUUUGUGAAGGUGGCCUUGGGAAAGGGAGCCACGAGCACCCUUGUAUCCCCUCGGCGAUGAUUUCGUGAGCUAUCCUCGGAGUCGAGAUCCACAGCCUGGAGUCUAGCAGUUUGGAGGAGAUUUGUCUCAAGCUUUGGACACUUGGGCAUUGUAGGCUUCGGCAAGGGCAGUGGCAUGAUUUUGCUGCUGUAAAGCUUGGGUAUAUACUUGCAAGGAGUUACAACCCUUGCUGCUCAGUGCCUUCUGCAAGCGGGGUGAGCAGCAAAGGUCUAUGCAUGGCAAAGCAAGGUGGUGGUUCAUUCGGCAAGGUGACCAAGUCCUCACGGCCUCGGCAAGGUGAGGUUCAAUUGGAGGGAUGUGCUCGUGAGUUCUCCUUGCAAUCUUUGGUUGUUCCCAAUGCUUGAUUAAAAAUUGUUGGUAUAGAGUUCCGAACUGUAGCCCAUGAAAGAGUAUAUGGAUUAAAAAUUUCUGGAGCAUAUGGUUGCUGUUUGGAGGAUGGGGUGCCGUUUGGCUUGGCCAUUUGAAUUGCUUCAGACUUUCGAAUAUACUAAAAUAUAAGAUAGGAGUUUGGCAUUUGCGGCUAGUUGUCUUCAAUCAUGCAAACGAUAAUAACCAUGUAAGCCAUGCAAACAAUAAUAACCAUGCAAGCCAUGCAAGAAAUAAUAACCACGUGGGCUUCCCAUUGGAUUGAAAUGGUGGUUGGCCCCCUUAGCCCUGCAAAGUGAUGCUGUCGGUGAAUUGGAAUAUUUGGCAUUUGCCAAAUUGGGGCAUCUUCAAAGUGGCCCGGACAGCUAUUAUUCAUUGCGAUAUUCAUGAACCAUAUUGUUGAAUAUGUAAGAAGAGAAAUCUUAUCUUGUGGUGAGGAUGCACGUGGGCAUCCACAGAGUGGAGUAAUUUUUCCUUGGCCGUGCGCAAGCCAUGCAUGGUGAUGAUAUGCUUGGUGCACUUGGGAUAUUUGGCCACCCAUAAAUUGAGACUCUUUCAACGUGAUUGAAAGGUGGUUCCUUGGGCUGAAAUGGUGGCUUGGCCAUGCAAGCCAUGCAAGGCGAGGUGUCGAAGGCCUCGCUCAUAUCAGAGAGGUCUGCAGAAGGCAUCGUAUGCACCACAUGAUGAUGAGGUGCCGAAGGAUGGCGGGGUGCCGAAGGAAACGCGCCGAAUGAUGGAGGGGUGCCGAAUGAUGAAGCUUGUAGAACAAGCUCAAGUCCCCUAUUUUUACUCUUCAAAGAAGUGCUGAACGACACUUUGAAUUGAGAUGUUGGUUUGGCUAUGCAAGCCGUGCAAAAUGAUAGCCACAUUCUGAUCGGCUUUUCCUUGAAAUAUCAUCUUCUGCAAUUUGUUGCCUUAGCAUUCAUUGUUGCUCCAGUAAGAUAUUGCCGAACGGCAACUUAGGUGAUGUUGAUUGUGUGGGUGUCGAGGGGCAUUGAAGAAGGGGAGAACGACAGAAGCCUUUUGUGUCGAUUCCCACAGACGGCGCCAAACUGUUGAUGCUCAAAAUGGUUCAGCCAAGAUUGAGUCCAACUUAGUGAUGAGGUGUGAUGGAUGAUGGAUGAAGGUGAGGACCUUCACCAAGUGUGUGAGGAUUUGGGAAAACGAUAAACAUAUAAAAGACAAGAUAUACGUGGUUCACCCGAAUGAUGGGCUACGUCCACGGAGAAGGGUGUUCUCAUUAUGAUAAUGUUUGUUUACAUUUGUACAAGGGGAUUAGACCCAAAUAUAAAGAUAACAAGUGAGAAGCCCAGUCUAGUGAUCUAGAAGAGAGAGUCCAAGCCUAAGGGUCUAGAUCCAAGACCCGGAUCCUCUUCUAAGGAAAGAGUAGUCUUCUUUUAUAGGUGAGGGGGAGUCUUCAUCUCUUGUAGUUUUCCGAUGUGGGACUCCUCUUGCUUUGCUUAGAGUUGUGAUUUGUGGUGAUGUGUCUUUGGCUAAGGUGAUGACCUCUCAAAGCAUGGCACUCGAAUGAUCUAGCCUAACUAGUUGCUCGGUCAGUUAUGGUACAAACAUAGUAUAAGUUGUUCAAUUUAAUCGCCUAGACUUAAAUAAAAUUUUGUUGCUUUUAAUAUAUCCAUGAAUUACUCUUCAGUGUGUGAUCUUUUAUGCUUUUUUCUUUUACUCCAUUUUCAAUAGUUGAGAUUAAAUAUUACAUGGCAAGUAGUUUUAAUUUUUCUCUCUCAUAAAAAUAAAAGAAAAAUUUUCUCUUUCCAACCUUUUUGCUGGGUAAUCUUCCUACCUCUUUAAUCUCAAAUAUUUAUUAGGGUCAAAUAAAUAAAAAAAUCUCACCAAAAACUAAGGGGGGUGUAUUCAAUUAAGAUUUUCUCCCACGUUCGCACGCCUUCGUUGGGAAGAAAGCUUUGCUCUAGGUACAUAUUUCAAUUUUCGAUUUUCUUUAUCAGAUUGGGUUUAUUUUUAUUUUAUUUUUUGUUGGAAUUAAACUAGGAUCUCUAGGUUAGGAAUUUAAAGAAUUAAUAGUUUCCAAGGGGAUUAAGUUUAUUUCUUAGGUAUCUGUGGGAGCAAAUAUUUUCGUCUCCAAUCACAGCACGCCACGUGGAAAAGAAGAUUAUCUCUUAAAUUAAUUAAUUGAACCAGUUUAUCUGGCUAAUUAAUUAAUUGGGAUAAAUAUCUUAAUUAACGUGAUAUUAUCUUUAUUUAAAGAGAUAAUAUCAUUAAUUCAGAUAUUAUCCUAAUAAAGAGAAGAUAAUAUCAUUUAAUUCAUAUAUUAUCUUCUUAAGAGAUAAUAUCAUUAAUUCAGAUAUUAUCAAGUCUGACUCGAUCCCUAUGAAACCCUAGCCCCUAGGCUCCUAUAAAUAGACGACCUCAUUCAUCAUUCAAGGUACUUCAAAAAACCUAUUCCUUAUACCCGAUAAAAAUACCCAAAGCUCUCUCUCCACUCUCCAUAUUUUCUCCACACGGCUCCGGCCACACGGCUCCGGCCACCCGGUUUACACCCUACAUACAACUCCGUACCCUUUGCUUAGCUAUUGUUUUUCUACAAACAUUUGAACUAACUUAGGCAUCGGAGGGCCUUUGGCCAACACCCCGGGUGUGGUCUAUUUACUCAAAUCUUUUUUACAGGAAUCGAGGAAGAGAGAGAAGGAAGAUCGAAGGUUAAAGGAUCUAGAAGCGAAUAUUCUCCGGUGAGAUUAUUUGCACAAACAGUAUCUAUGAUUAAGCUAUUCAUUUCAAUUUGUUUCAAAUUGUUGGUAGGAUUUCUUAUUUUACGGGUUUGAAAAUGAGGUUUUAAUCUUCUCAUAUAUGAAAAUUUUGACUAUUACUGUUUUUUUUUCCCCCGAUUUAUAGGGACAGAAUACAAGGAGAAAAUUUGAUGCCACACCACUUCUUUAACCUCCUCCCUCUUUGGGGUUGGUUCUAGAAAUUGAUGGAUUACCUGUGGAUUUACACAAGUUCAUUGCAAAGUCCAUCCAUUGAUUUUUUGCUUUUUUUUUUAACUGAACGCAGAGAAUGCCAGCUGAAAUCAUUUAAGUGGGCAUCUACAAUAUUUUACUAUCAUGAAACACUCAUAAACAACGGAUUACGAACAAUUUCGAAACACAUUAUGUAUCAAAUAGUACGUAAACAUUCAUGAUACAAGAUAUCAUAAUCCAAAAAGCAUAUGUUCAUAUAAUUUGUCUAUGUAAUGCCACAUAUACAGAGAUAACAAGACCAAUGAUCACCAUUGCAACAAGAGCUUCCCCCUGAUGAACAUAACAGACUAUUCCUGAUACAAGACAACAUCAAAGAUACAAAAAAAAAAAAAACAUAAUAGACCAUUAGAUAUGCACUGAGAGUUGGAGGAAAUAUCUUGUGUGCGCUCCAACAUUUUGAUGAGAGAAAGAGAGAGAGAGGCGUGCGAAUGUGGGAUUGUAGUUUGGGUAUUUAGUUUUUGGUGAGAUUCUUUAUUUAUUAGACCCUAAUAAAUAUUUGAGAUUAAAAAGGCCAGACAGAUUACCCAGCAAAAAGGUUGGAAAGAGAAAAAUUCUUUUAUUUUUAUGAGAGAAUAAAAUUAAUGAUUGUGUAUUUAAAAAACUAAUAACCCAAAAAUUGUGUCAAAAACAUAAUGCCACAGAUCCGCCCCUCUAUAUGUAAGAUCCCACAUCGACCAAACGGAGAGGGGGUGAUGUGCCUUAUAUGGCACACCUCGCAUCCAUCUAGCACGAGGCCUUUUGGGAGCUCACUGGCUUCGGAGUUGUAAGAACUCCGAAGUUAAGCGAGUGGGAGGCUGGAGCAAUUCCAGGAUGGGUGACCACCCUGGGAAGUUGCUCCGUGAGCUCCCAGAAACAAAACCGUGCGGGCUGGUGAGAAUGUAGCCAGGCCCAAAGCGGACAAUAUCGUGCUACGGCGGAGUCGGUCCGGGGCGUGACAAUUUGGUAUCAGAGCCACUCUGCCGUGUGGUGCGAGUGUGCCGAAGAGGACGUCGGAUCCCUUAAGGGGGGUGGAUUGUAAGAUCCCACAUCGACCAAACGGAGAGGGGGUGAUGUGCCUUAUAUGGCACACCUCACAUCCAUCUAGCACGAGGCCUUUUGGGAGCUCACUGGCUUCGGAGUUGUAAGAACUCCGAAGUUAAGCGAGUGGGAGGCUGGAGCAAUCCCAGGAUGGGUGACCACCCUGGGAAGUUGCUCCGUGAGCUCCCAGAAACAAAACCGUGCGGGCUGGUGAGAAUGUAGCCAGGCCCAAAGCGGACAAUAUCGUGCUACGGCGGAGUCGGUCCGGGGCGUGACAAUUUAAACUUUAAGGACCCGCCCCGAAUUUUCUCAAAAACCCGAGACGAACCCUUUGGAAUUCCUGACAUCACCCCGAUGUCAGGCCCGCUUACUAAAAACUGAGACUUCCUGCCGAAAUUUCGGCAGAGUCUCCCCUAUAAAUUGGACAUUUCCCAAAAUUUCAACCUGCAUAAAAACGCAUUUAAUAUUCCCAACUGGCAGCAUGCACAAUAUAAUUUCAUGCAAUUCACACAAAUGGCCUUCGGCCUUUCAAUAAUUCCUAUCCAACUACCAAACCAUUCAAAUCCAAAUUAUGACUAAUAUUUAGUCUGCGGCUGCGCCUAAUAACCUUAGGCUGCCUACGUACCCUCCUUGAGGGAUCAAGCCACACGUAGUUCUUCCCUAAAACUCAAUUCCCCACUUGGGCGAUACCUUAUUUCAUUUCAUAUAAUCUCCCCAUACGCCGGUACAACCAACGCCACGUAUGGGGUCUGUCUCAACGCCGGAUAACCUACGCCACGUGAGACCUGCACAUCAUAUCACAUAACUCCCCAUACGCCGGUACAACCAACGCCACGUAUGGGGCCUGUCCCAACGCCGGAUAACCUACGCCACGUGGGACCUCAAUAUUAUAUCACAAAGCUCCCCAUACGCCGGUACAACCAACGCCACGUAUGGGGUCUGUCGACACGCCGGAUAACCUACGCCACGUGCGACCUCAACAUAAUAUUACAUAGCUCCCCAUACGCCGGUACAACCAACGCCACGUAUGGGGUCUGUCCCAACGCCGGAUAACCUACGCCACGCGGGACCUACUUUCACUUGGUGGUACUUGUAAUGGAUCCAACAUCCGAGGAGGUACCUAAAGUAGUGCGUAUAGCACUCCAAACUGACAUUCUAGACUUUGUUGUACCCUUGUACAACCACAUAUAAUUAUAUUUAUAUAAAUUACUUCUUAUAUUGUGUAACCCUCCACAUCCAUCUAGUACCCGAUAAUCUCCCUUAGAAAGGUGAGAUUACUCCGGGAGACUCACGGUCAACCAAGGGUCAAACUACUCUCACCCUGGUCAACCGGACCUGCAGAACCCACGACCUCCAAUUUCCGAUCUGAAAGUCUCUAUGGGUUCUACCAGGUAUAGGACACUUGUCCUGCAAGUUUGGUUCAGAUCGGACGGUCGGAUUUCUCACGAUCGCAUGAUCCGACGGUUAAUAUAAAAUAUAAACUUAAAAUUAUUAUUCGGAACAUCCGGGGCUCCGAUUCGCGAUCCGUGAAUUCCUACAUGAUCCUAGAAAUACCUAGAUCGACAUAUAUUAAAUUUGGGACCAUCCGACGGUCCCAACCUAUCGAACCCGGAUAACGCAUAGUAUGCGAUUAUCCGUUCGAUAGUCAAACGACGUCCGAAUUGAGAUCCGCGAAAUCCUACGCACUCGUGACGGCACGAGGAUCUCAAAACUGCCCAGAGUCACUCCACCACCCUCGUCCACGCGCUGCCACACGCGCGGGCAGAUCGGGUGUCCAAAGCGAUUAUGGUUCGUCGAAAAAUCUCGGAACCAAGACUCCAAACUCCUAUCCUAGGUAAAACACCUCAUUUGGAGUCACUUUUGUUCUUGGACCUACCCCAAAAAGUGACCGGAAAUGCCCGAUCACGGCGGCCGAAGUUUCGGCCGAUUUUCAAUUCGAAAAUUGAGUUGCCGAUUUUCUUUUGAGACUUUGAAUUAGAAUUUGCAGAGAAUUGUGUUGGGGACUUUGAUUCCAUAUCUUGGCUUUAACAUAUUCAUGUGAUGCGUCUUGUAUCUUUUUAGUGUUUUUUUGCUGUGAUUUCUCAUUGAUUAUUUUUAGGAAUUUGAAAUUUGUCACCCUUGAUUUUUUUUUUUUCCCUUUUCUUUUGAUCAAAUAGAAAAAUUUCAUUCAUCACUAGCAUCAAACAAAGGAUAAAAGUUUACAGAUGAACGGAGGGCCUUAAUGUGGUCUCACUAAAACCUUGCCAUCAAAAACCUCCAAUGGAGGAAAAUCCGGUCAAAAAAAAAAAGAGUGCCACCGCAUGUCAAUAAUGCAAACAAAAAUCUACGCCAUAGUUCUAUCCUUAUCUAACAGAAUGCUUAGCCAUGGGGGGCAUAGUCUGUCCAGAAAAGUCGAGAUCUCGCUCUCAAUCCAUGCUGGGCUAGGCCAUGUACCACCCCAUUGCCUUUUUUAUGUUGAUAAAACACUUCAGCCACCUCUUGAUCAACCAUUAACCGACGAACAUCCACCACCACAUUCCCAAUAUUACUCCACCAAUCCAAACCAUCUUUGAGAAUAGAAACAGCUUUUUGAGAAUCAAGACCAAUGGUAAACCGAGUAAAACUCAUGUAUCCCAUCAUCAAUAAACAUUCUCGGAUAGCCGCCAACUCAGUGCCUAAAACAUCCAGACCAAGUGGACAGCCAGAGGCAAACCAACAGAUAAAGUUUCCGUCAUGAUCACGACAGCAGCCCCCCAGACCCCGACCACUUUGCUCACGACCCACAGCCCCAUCACAGUUAAGAAUAAAAACAUUUACCCGUGGUUUCAACCAAUGAACCUAUUGAGGUACGAAAGGGAGCUUGGACCGCUCCUCACAAGAUUUGAACACCACCAAUAUCUCCAUCGUGUUUUCCACCAUAUUAUCGAACCGUGUAAUUUUUUUCCCAUGCAAAGAGUCGUUACGUAAUUUCCACACACAACAAGGAAAGCUCUAAGUCAGCUUUCGACAACAUUGAAGCCACAGCCUCAAAAAUAUCAGCAAAAGUGCCAACCGCCAUAUUAAUUCGCCAGAUAAAAUAGGUACACUUCCAAAAAUUUGACUCAUUUUAUAAGAUCACAGAGCAUGGUAGGCAUCUUUAGGAUAUUUCCCACACCUUGAGCACACCUGAGAUGUAAGCACCCUUCUCUUAAAUCAAGUGACUGCCGUUGGUAGAAUUUCAGAACUUGCCCUCCAAAUUAGCAUUUUAAUUUUGUUGGGGACUGCAAGCUUCCAAAUUCACAUCCAAAAACCUUCAUGAGCACUCUGAUCCGAUCUACCACACCCCCCCCCCCCCCCCCCCCCCCCCGCCCACAAAAAAACUAUAAUACCAUUUAAGAUUUCUAAGCAAUGCUUAAUAUAAGUGUUAGGUGAGGGUGACCCCGGGUUUUAACGCAACAAAUUCUUCCCCAAUAAGAGAAGGAUGUUUCUUUAAACGGGGGAUAGCAGGGGGGGGGUCAUUAAUAUAAUCGCGGGGGGGGGAGGUCCAGACAUCGAAGGGAAUGAAAGUAUUAACUGUAAAUUUGNNNNNNNNNNNNNNNNNNNNNNNNNNNNNNNNNNNNNNNNNNNNNNNNNNNNNNNNNNNNNNNNNNNNNNNNNNNNNNNNNNNNNNNNNNNNNNNNNNNNUCCUCAUCACAUUCCUCAUGCCCACACGAUAUCCAGUAUUAAUGGAAUAUUCCCGUUCUUAAGAAAAACCCAAUAUUUGCUAUCCCUCAUAUGUGAAACUGAUCCCAAAAGGCAAUGCUGGAAAUGAUAUCUUUAUCUUCCAAGCUAAAAAUGUUGCUCUAACAGUGGCAAAUCCCAUAAGCCAGAAGCAGUUAGAAGGUCAGAAACUGUAGUAUUCCAAUCCAGCCCUCCAGCCAUCAACGGCUUGAAAGUAAAUGGUUUUUGAAUCCACCUAUCUUGGAAAACACGGAUAGAAACUCCAUUGCACACCCUCCAAAUUAGACCAUCCUCGAUAACCUCACGACCCCACAAAAUAGAUUUCCAUAUUAUGGGUCGUAAAGAUGACCCAUGCCAUGCUUAAUCGGGUUCCUCUUUAGCUUACCUCUUCUCACGCUAUCUGCGAGUCAAGAAGAGGCAAAAGAUUAAUAAAGAGUUUAAAGAAAAACAAGUAUUAAUAUAAGAAUAUGAUCACACAAGCAUAGAUAGUUAUUUUUGCAUUUUUAAUAUAUAUUUAUAAGCAACUUUAAUAUAUAAAAUAUUUAUAUUAUAUACCGUGUAAAUAUAAGGGUUGUAACGGGCUCCAAUGCCUGACCUUUUGACCUUCUCAAGCUUCAACAACUGGCAUGCACAGAAACACACAAUACCCAUUUAUAUCCCGCCACGUCAGAACAUUCUUGCCACGUAAGGCAAAGGGUUUUGUUCUAAAAAUUAACUAAAACAUAACAGAACAUUAUGGUUGGAUGUAUUUAAACCCCCUAAUCCCCAUCCUGAUCUUCCACAGUUUAGAUCCGACGAUUAAUACGUUCUCAUCACCCUAAUUUUAGGGGUGGAUACGGUCCGAUUUGGUCUGGUUCUCAUCUUAAAUCGAAACUGGAACCGGUACUAUUUAAUCAGUCCGAUUCGGUCCGAUUUAGGCAAAAAAAAUUUCAAAAACCAGCCGGUUCGGUUCUAACCGGUUCUGACCGGUUCCAGUUUUGAACCGGAUUAUUAAUUUAUUAUUAUUUUAAUUUUUUUUCAAAACAAUUAUAAUAAAUAAUUUUUUUUUUUUUGCUUAAAAAUUAACAAAUAAUCCAAUUCAUACAUUUAGAAAUUUUUUGAAGUUGAACUUGGAAAAAUAGUGAUUAUAAAAUUUAAAAUAUAGCAUUAGAUUUUAAAAUUUUGUAAAAAUAAAAAAAUAUAUAUAUGACCGGUCCGGUUCGGUCCGGUCCGGUGUGGUGGGGUGUAAAAUCAGAACCGAAAUCGGUUCGAUCCGGUUUGUUGACUUUUUGGUCAAUCGGUUUUUUUUUUUUUCACCGGUUCGGUUCGGUGUUUUUGUUUUCCGGUCCCGAUGCCCACCCCUACUAAAUUUUUGUGCACUCGAUCACAUCCACGUGCAUAACAUACAACCAAGGGCCACGUGUCAAAUCGAGAGAGAGAGAGAGAGAGAGAGAGAGAGAGAGAGAGAGAGAGAGAGAGAGAGCACUAACAUUCUGAGUGCUUUGUUGGUGUCAGGAAUUAAAAGAAUUUCAUUUUAAUUUUACUAAAAUUCUUGAGUUUGUAAUUGAAAUAGACUAUAAAUUAUAAGGGUCGUUUGGUACACAGGCUUGGCUUGGACUAGCUUGGACUAAAUUUAGUACCCUGUUUAUUUCAUUUAUUUCUAGUUCUUAGAUGAGAUUGCUAAUACCGGGCCCACCAAAAACACCUCCUUAUAAGGGGACUACUAAGCCCAUGUAGAAAAGUGAGGACUAACUAAUCUUAUGUUCAUCAAUGUAUAAGAUGCAUAUAUUAUAUUGUAAUACUAAUAACAUAUAGUACUAUUAUUAUUAUUAUUACAUACACAUAUACUAUAAUGUACAUAUAUACACAUAUAUACACAUAUACAUGUAUAUAUAUAAACACAUAUAUAAUAUAUAUAAAUACAUAUAGAUACACACACGUAUAAUAUUAUUAUAAUAUACCCAUAUACACAUACAUUAAUAUUAUAAUAAUAGCACACAUGUAUAUAUGUAAUAUAUAUUAUAUUAUAUAUUAAUGUACAUAUAUACACGUAUAUACACAUAUACAUGUAUAUAUAUAUAAACAUAUAUAAUAUAUAUAAAUACAUAUAGAUAUAUACACGUAUAUUAUUAUUAUAAUAUACCCAUAUACACAUACAUAUUAAUAUUAUGAUAAUAGCAUACAUGUAUAUAUGUAAUAUAUAUAUAUUAUAAUACAUAUAUAUAUAUAUGUAUUAUACCCAUACAGAGAGCUUCUAUUGAGGGAUCCCUCAAAUAAACUUAUUUGAGGGACACCCCUUGUAGGCCCCACUCCGGAUUGUAUUUCACUAAUCCAAACCGUCUAUUUUGUAGAUACUCAUUCAAAGAUCAUCUCUACAAAAAAUCACUUGAAUCCGAUAUCAUGUGACCACUCAAUUGAGUUAUUGAAAUUUUAGUACUUUUCUUAAAGCACCGUGUUCAUUGAUUUUGUAAGACACAAUUGGAUGUCGAAACGGUUUCCGAUUUGUCUAAUUUUUUGUAAGGAUGAUCUAUGAAUGAAUACCUAAAAAAUAGAUGGUUUCGAUUAUUGGGAAAAGAAUUGUAGGGUACCCUAAAGGGCGUCCCUCAAAUAAAAUUAUUUGAGAGAUCCCUCAAUAGAAGGGGACUGUAUACCCAUAUAUAUUAUAAUACACAUAUACACACAUAUAUAUAUAUUUAUAUUAUUUAUAAUAUAUAAUAUUAUUAUAAUAUACAUAUAUACAUGUAUAUACAUAUAUAUAUAAAAAAAUAAAAUAAAAAUUUAGUCCUAGUUCAAACAUACACCAAAUGCAGAAUAAAUGUUAUAUAACUUAGACCAAGCUGAGCAGUGGUGCAAGAACGCAGCCCAAGAGAGGGACAAACGCACGAGAAGAUGGAACAGAGGGAUCAAAAGUGAGCAGUGGGCAACAAAAGAAAAAAACAAACAAAAUAGAAAGUGGGAGAAAUUGACAAAAUAAACAGAACAAGGUCGUUGAACAUUAUUGCUAUCAAUAAUUUAUUAUAGUAGUUGACUUUGAAUUUUCCAAUUUUGAAAGAAUGACUAUCCUCCAAUUUUGAAUUUUCUUAGAAGAAUCAUCAAACAAGAAUCAACUUUGAAUUCAACAAGGAUUCUGUUUAUCACCUAUAUCACGGUCAAGUCCUCUCCUGGUGGCCCAAAGGUUUCAAUAUCAAUAAUUUGCAUUCAGUGGGUUGUUGUUUUCCGACUUCUCAAUUUGCAUUGUGUGGUGGUGGUUUGCUUCGUUUUCAAGCAUGGUUGUUCUUAUAUAUAUAAGUACAUGUGAGCAACGGCACAUACACAAAGCAACAUGCUAGUGCAAGCUUAUAACCUAAUGGCUCAUGGCUUCCUUCUCUUCCUCUUAUUCUCUUGUAUUAUACCUACAAAUAUUCAUGCCUGCAAACAAACUGAACGUAGCUCCCUCCUGUCCUUUGCCUCCACUCUAUCUUCUCCUUCUUUAAAUUGGACAUCCAUUGAUUGCUGUCGUUGGAAGGGCAUCACUUGUGAUCAACCUGGUUGGGUCACCCAUUUGCUCUUGCCUUCCAAAGGGCUCAAAGGAGGUAUCUCUCCCUCUUCACUUGGAAAUCUCACACAUCUCACCCACUUGAACCUUUCCCACAAUUCACUAUAUGGUUCACUUGAAACUCAGUUCUUCUUGUCUUUGAAUAGACUUGAGAUCCUUGAUUUGAGCUAUAACCGUCUUUCUGGAGAGCUACCACUUUCUCUACCAUCUAGCAAUAUCCGGACAGUUGAUUUGUCCAGCAAUCGCUUUUUUGGUGCAAUUCCAUCUUCAUUCUUCCAACAAGCUCGCAACUUGACAAGUUUCAAUGUCAGCAACAAUACCUUCACCGGGUAUGUUCCGUCCUCUAUUUGUCUCCAUUCUUCUCCCUCCCUUAGGCUAUUGGAUUUUUCUUCCAAUGUAUUCAGUGGCUAUCUUGCUCCUGGGCUAGGGAGGUGUUCCAAAUUGCAAGUUUUUCGUGCCAGUCACAACAACCUCUCUGGAUUACUUCCAGAAGAUAUCUAUAAUGCUACCAAACUUGAAGAAAUUUCAUUACCUCUCAAUUCACUACAUGGAGCCAUUAGUGAUAGAAUUGCCAACCUCACCAACCUUGCAAUCCUCGACCUCUACUUUAAUCAUUUUGGAGGCGAGCUUCCUCCCAAUUUGGGGAAGCUCUCCAAGUUGAAAUUGGUGACCCUUGAUUUCAACAAUUUAGAAGGUGCUUUGCCCCCAUCUUUGAUGAAUUGCACAAACCUUGUGGAACUGCGUUUGGGAUCCAACAACUUAAAAGGAGAUAUCUCCAUUCUUGAUUUCUCCAGACUUAGUCAACUUACUAAACUGGAUCUAAGGAACAAUAACUUCACUGGUACGGUUCCAGUAAGCCUUUACUCAUGUAAGUCCCUAAAAGCCAUUGCAUUGGGUAGAAAUCAUCUAGAGGGACAAAUAGAAGUUGAGAUUCUUUCAUUGAAAUCCUUAUCCUUCCUCUCGCUUGGUUACAACAGAUUCACCAACCUCACAGGGGCAAUGAAGAUAUUGAUGAGUUGCAAAAGUCUUCAUGCACUCAAGCUUACUGGUGCCUUUGAAGGUGGGGGAAUGCCAUUUGAUGAUGACAUGGUUGAUUUUGAUGGAUUCCAAAAUCUUCGGCUCUUCAGUUUAGGUCAUUGUGGCCUCAUUGGUCAAAUACCUGUAUGGUUAUCAAAGCUCAAGAAUUUAGAGAUAUUGCUCCUGGGUAGUAAUCAAAUCACAGGGCCAAUUCCAAGUUGGUUGGGGACUCUUCCUAGACUGUUUUAUAUAGGCUUGUCAAACAACCAAAUUUCAGGUGAAUUUCCAAAGCAACUUUGUAGACUACCAAGGUUGAUUUAUGAACGUAAUAUUGCAUCUCAAGCAGAAGACCAAUAUGAAUUUGAAUUGCCUGUCUUCAGCACCAUAAAUGGUGCAAAUAACCUUUUCCUACCACAAAAAUUGUCUUCUUUCCCAGCAAUGAUAGAUGUAUCUAACAAUAACAUUAGUGGUUAUAUACCUGCUGAUAUUGGCCAAUUGCGGCUUCUCCGCAAGUUAGUUCUUGACUCCAACAACUUUUUAGGCGUCAUUCCAGACCAAAUAUCUAACCUAAAAAAUUUAGAGGUUUUGUACCUCAGCAUGAAUCACUUGUCUGGAAUAAUCCCAUCAUCAUUGAUGAGCCUUAAUUUUUUGAGAGAAUUUAAUGUCUCAUACAAUAAUCUUGAAGGACCAAUACCAAUAGGGACCCAGCUCCAAAGCUUCAACGCUUCUGCCUUUGAGGGGAAUCCAAAACUUUGUGGUGCCCCACUUCCAAAUAAGUGCAGACCAAGUAAGGGCAUUGAUGCAUAUAAUAAGAGCAAUAAAGACGUGGACAAUGGUCUUCAUCAACUUCCAUGGUUUUAUAUUUUCGUUGCUUUGGGGUUCAUAGUAGGAUUUUGGGGAGUUUGUGGUUCUUUAGUUAUUAAUAAAACAUGGAGAUAUGUCUAUUUUCAAUUCAUAGACAAUCUACAAGAUAGGCUCUAUGUAAUGAUAAGUUGAUAACAGUCCACAUCAACAUGAUGAAAAGAAGCCUUGGUGGCUAGAUAUAUAUUAUUAAUAUGUUGUACUUUUUAUUUUACAUUUUCAGUUUGCUUUUUGUUUUUUUUUUCUUCUUCUUUUGAAAGUAACUGGACUCAAAUUUAAAGGAUGUAUGUUGUUAUGUUCAUAAAGUUAUGGGGGAAUUUGUACUUAAUUGUAAUAACCCAAUUCUAAAUAAAUAUUUAAUUAUUAAUUUAUUUAAGUAAAAGACAAUUUUACUCCGAGAAUAUUUUAAUAACAAAACAUGAAAUUUUGAAAUGAAAUGGCAAGGGUGGACAGUCACAGAAAUUCAAGUGUCAAAAAAUGUUGAAUAUGAGGUCCACCAGCCAUAAAACAGAUAAAUUGUAAAAACCCAAGUCCCUGUUAAAAAAACAUAUAGGCAUUAACAAUACAAAAGCAUGAAUUAAAACAUAUGAGGAAAAUCAUAAACCAUUACUCUAUGGAAUCUUGGUCCAGCCACUCCCCUGCUGUCUAUGUAUCUAAAAGGAAAAUAUAAAUAUAAUCAGAUUUCCCAACAAAGCAAAAGAUACAUACUGAAAGGGUUCCAACUUGCAAGCUAUAGCUAUUCUGAUAAGCAUAUAUUCAUAGUCAAACUUGCAAGCAAAUCCAAUCCACAAGUUAGACUAUUGCUACACAAACCAAUCAAUUAAUUUUAGUUGUCAAUGCACUUAGGAAUUCAUAUGAUUUUAUUUUCAAGUUAGACUCUCAUGUCACCUUGACAGUAUGUGUAUGUGAGAAAACCUCAUUCCUAAUAACGCUUGUAUAUGUAAAACAAAAUAACAAAAAACAAAAAGAAAGAUGCAAUUCAUGAAUAUAUCAGCUCCCAAUCCCUAUAAAACAAAAGAAAGUGUUACAAACUUACAAAAAACUUGGGGCCAAAAUCUUCUCAAAGUUCCAAUAGUAGGUUUUUGGCAGAUUGGACAUACAAGAAGAUAGGCACAAAACAUCUAAUGCAUACCAUACGGUCACUACGGAUCAUGGAAUUUUAUGCCUUUAGGCUUAAAAAAAGUAAUCACAUCAGAAUCCUAGGAUAGGAUUUAUACAUGAAAAAGAUUUAUGCUUGUCCUCUACAAAGUGCCCCAUUUAUAUGAAUUGUAUUUUGAUAUCAUCAGUGACAUAAAACAUAAGAGCAAAAGAAUAUUGAACUUUUGGGAAUGCCCUUCAAUGAUGGAAAAGUAAUUCACCACACCAUAUGAAAUUCCUUGGUGAACUCUCAUGAAUUAAACAAAUCCAAAAGUUCUACAUUUAAUUAAUUAUGGCCCUUUGUUCCCUAGAGAUGGACAAUUUGAUAAUGUAAACAAAUGCUUCAAGCAUUUCCUAUGCAACUAUAUAUUUUGACAGAAGUUUGUGCUUUAAAUUAGGCACCUUCUCUGUAAUUAAUGAGAAAUUAUACAACAGUACUGGAGUUCGGUCACAUAGUAAUGGUGGAACUACAUAUAGGCUACCCUCGACUGUAGCCCAGUGCAACCUUGGUCAAAAAUACUUUUUACAGCACAUAAUUUCAAGAUUUUGACAUUAAGCCCACCCCAACCAACUCCGACAUGUGCAAAUUCUUCACUUUUAUGGCUGGGUAGUUAAGAAAAGUCGUAGUUUUCUAGUUUUAUAUUAUGUUAAUUGAAUCGUUCAAGUUCAAAAAAAAUUAAAAUUUAGCUGUUCUUGGUUUGACUUAAUUUUGUUUUAUCAUUUAACGAAAUAUUAGCCCACCCUUUUGAAAAAAAUUAGUUCCACUCUUGUAUGUAAUAUAGCUCAUGUAAGUGUUAUAAUAUGGAUGAACUAAGUUGAUAUUUUUCCAUUUUAAGUACUAUGUUGUCAUACUACCGUACUACACUAUAAGAUUGAGAAUUAUCAUUUGUGGCUCCUUUUUUUUUUUUUUUUUUUGGGUAAUUAAGUUGUUGACGAAGAACUUUAUGUCAUACAAAUGAAAUUAUAGUUUAAAAUGAACUAGUAUGGGGUUGUAUUAGUUUAAUCUGUGGUGGGAAUGGCCCUACCCUCUAACUAAUCCAUUUACAUUGUUUUAUGGAGUCAAUUACAAUUCAUUUUACUGUAGAUUUUUAAUUAUUUAUUUAUUUUUAAUAUAUUAUAUCUUAACUUAAGCGAUAAGAUUUAGUCUUCAUAAUCAACAAUCUUCAAGUCAAGAUGGUGAUUGACAAAUAGACCCCCACCCAACCACAUUUUAAUUCACAUCUUAUAUUCCUUCCAGAUUUUCAACCAAUCUGCAGACAUGGAUGAAAAAGUAAUUUGCAUUCAAACCAGAAGUUCUUAGAAGGUAGCUCUCGUUCACACAAUCAUUUGUAAUUUACUGUGGGUCGUUGCCACGCAGAGUUAGAGCAUGAUUGGUCCAAAUAAACUCGAUUGUCGGUGAGUGAAUGGGCAGGUAACCAAUAAGGGUUCCAUCAACUUUGAUUAAUUAUUUCCAAUUUGUCUUAUGCAGCACAUCUUCCUCUUACGCAGUCAGUGUCAGCCUUCGAAGUUCGCAUAAUUGCUUUUUGAAUGCUGGGGUUGAUAUUAAUUGUUUAUCUGUUUAUUUGUUUGUUUUCAAUUGGUUUUUCGGCAAUCAAAUUAAGUAGGUCAAGUCCUCUCCUGGUGGGCCCUUCUUAAGUGGUUGUUGUGGAAAUAUAUCUUCGACACAUAGGUUUUAAUAUUAAUAAUUAGAAGAUUUAUUAUUAUAUCAAAUGUAGAAGCGUAAAUUAUAAAAUAAAAAAUUCUAUAUGAAAAGGACUUUAAAAACACACUCAAUAUCCAUUUACAACAUAACAAAAAAGCUUUUAAUUUUUUUUAAAUUACAAAAUUGUUAUUGAUUUCUUAAAACAAACCUAAUCUCAAAACCGCAUUAAAAAAAAACUCAAAACACUCAAUAGGGCAUUAAAGUAAUUUAAUAAUUAAAAUUAAAUUCAAUAUGGCCAGUUGUCACUUUUUUUUUUUUUUUUUUGAGUUUGUUUAUAGAAAUUCAAUGGUGUAAGAUUUAUCUAUAUUAUUAGUGUUAAGAAUAAGUAUAUAACUAAAUAUCUCUUAAUAAUUUGCAUUGUGUGGUUUCGAGCAUGGUUGCUCUUAUAUAUAUGUAAAUACAUGUGAGCAACGGCACAUACACAAAGCAACAUGUUAGUGCAAGCUUAUAACCUAAUGGCUCAUGGCUUCCUUCUCUUCCUCUUAUUCUCUUGCAUUAUUUCAACAAAUAUUCAUGCCUGCAAACCAACUGAACGCAGCUCCCUCCUGUCCUUUGCCUCAACUCUAUCUUCUCUUCAUUUAAAUUGGACAUCUAUUGAUUGCUGUCGUUGGAAGGGCAUCACUUGUGAUCAAGAUGGUUGGGUCACCCAUUUGCUCUUGCCUUCCAAAGGGCUCAAAGGAGGUAUCCCUUCUUCUUCACUUGGAAAUCUCACACAUCUCACCCACGUGAACUUUUCCCAUAAUUCACUAUAUGGUUCACUUGAUACUCAGUUCUUCAUGUCUUUGAAUCGACUCGAGUUCCUUGAUUUGAGCUAUAACCUUCUUUCUGAAGAGCUACCACUUUCUCUACCAUCUAGCAAUAUCCGGACAGUGGAUUUGUCCAGCAAUCACUUUCAUGGUGCAAUUCCACCUUCAUUCUUCCAACAAGCAAGCAACUUGACUAGUUUCAAUGUCAGCAACAACACCUUGACAGGGUAUGUUCCAUCCUCUAUUUGUCUCAGACAUUCUUCUCCCUUCCUUAGGCUGUUGGAUUUUUCUUCCAAUGCAUUCAGUGGCAACCUUGCUCCCGGGCUAGGGAAGUGUUCUGAACUGCAAGUUUUUCGUGUCGGUCACAAUAACCUCUCAGGAUUACUUCCAGAAGAUAUCUAUAAUUGUACCAAACUUGAAGAAAUUGCAUUACCUCUCAAUUUUCUACAUGGCACCAUUAGUGAUAAAAUUGUCAACCUGACUAACCUCGCAAGCCUUGAUCUCUACUAUAAUCAUUUUGAUGGUGAGCUUCCUCUCAAUUUGGGGAAGCUAUCUAUGUUGAAGUUUUUGACCUUUGAUUUCAACAAUUUAGAAGGUGCUUUGCCCCCAUCUUUGAUGAAUUGCACAAACCUUGUAGAAUUGCGUUUGGGAUCCAACAAUUUGGAAGGAGAUAUAUCCAUGCUUGAUUUUUCCAGACUUAGUCAACUUACUAAGCUUGACCUAAGGAGGAAUAACUUCACUGGUACAAUUCCAAGAAGUCUUUACUCGUGUAGGUCCGUAAAAGCCAUUGGAUUGUCUGGAAAUCUUCUAGAGGGACAAAUAGAAGAUGAUAUUCUUUCAUUGAAAUCCUUGUCCUUCCUCUCUCUUGGUUACAACCGAUUCACCAACCUCACAGGGGCAAUGAAGAUGUUGAUGAGUUGCAGAAGUCUUCACGCACUCAUGCUUGGUGGUUCCUUUGUGGGUGAGGGAAUGCCAAGUGAUGAUGACAUGGUUGAUUUUCAUGGAUUCAAAAAUCUUCGGUUAUUGAAUUUGGAUGAUUGUCAACUCACUGGUCAAAUACCUCUAUGGCUGUCAAAGCUUAGGAAUCUAGAGGUCUUGUUUCUGGCUUAUAAUCAAAUCACAGGGCCAAUUCCAAGUUGGUUGGGAACUCUUCCUAGACUUUUUUAUAUAAACUUGAAAGACAACCGAAUUUCAGGUGAAUUUCCGAAGCAACUUUGUAGACUACCAAGGUUGGUUUAUGAACCUAACAUUGCAUCUCAAGUAGAAGCUUUUGAAAUUGAAUUACCUCUCACCAUCGGCCAAAACUCAAAUCCAACUUUUCUACCCCACAGAUUGGCUUACUUUGCAGCAUCGUUAGACCUAUCUAACAAUAACAUCAAUGGUCAUAUACCUGCUGAGAUCGGCCAAUUGCAGUUUCUCCACAAGUUGGCUCUUAACUCCAACAACUUCUCCGGUAUCAUUCCAGACCAAAUAUCUAACCUGAAAAAUUUAGAGGUUUUUAACCUCUCCAUGAAUCACUUGUCUGGAAUAAUCCCAUUAUCAUUGGCGAGCCUUAAUUUCUUAAAAGAAUUUGAUGUCUCAUACAAUAGCCUUGAAGGACCAAUACCAACAAGCACCCAGCUCCAAAGCUUCGAAGCUUCUGCGUUUGAGGGGAACCUAAAACUUUGUGGUGCGCCACUUCCAAAUAAGUGUAGCCCAAAUAAGGGCAUUGAUGCAGAUAACAAGAACAACAAAGACAUGCACAAUGGGCUUCAUCAACUUCCAUGGUUUUAUAUGUUUACAGCAUUAGGGUUCAUAGUGGGAUUUUGGGGAGUUUGUGGUUGUUUAAUUUUUAACAAGACGUGGAGAUAUGCGUAUUUUCGAUUCAUAGACAAUGUACAAGAUAGGCUCCUCUAUAUGAUGAUAAUAGUGCGUAUCAACAUGAUGAAAAGAAGGACUUAGAGGCUAGAUAUAUAUUAUUAAUAUUGUACUUUUUAUUUUGCAUUUUCAGUUUGCUUUUACCAUUUUUUUUCUCUUAUGUUUCAUUUCAAUGUAACUGGACUCAAAUUUAAAGGAUAUAUAAUGUUCGGUUCAUAAAGUUAUGGGGGAAACUCAUGCAGACAAGUGAAAAUACAAUAAAAUUGUUUACAAACUAAAAGAGAAGAACCAAAUCAUAAAUUGACUACAUGCGUGAGGUUUUUUACUAGUGUUAAAAAAAAAUCAUGACAUCAUAUGACACAUCCUAUACGGCUUAUAACAACUCUGCAAUAAACAAGCAGUAAUGCAUUUGCAAUUUAACUUGAUUGUCUAAAGUCGAUAACGCAACUGUUUGGGCCUAAAAACCGUGCACCAGCCCAAUUUGGUUAUGGACUUCUCUUUGCCAAAUUAUGUUGGGGCCUUUUUACCAAAAGUGGUGAAAAAUCCAUACGAUUGGUAAAGAAGGGAAUUAACUUAAUUCAAAAAUCCGGUAAAUUGGGGGUUGAAUUACCACCAAAUGGUGAUUUAAAUCCAAAGAGACCGGAUUACUUGAAUUAGUCUCAACCCAUUUAACUUUUCUUAGCUAUCAAGGUAUCAAGAUGAAUUCUCAUCGUUGGUAACUAAACUCCAAAUAGUUUUGAUGACCUCAAUAGCUAGAAAUUAAGGUCGGUAUGGCCUUAGUUGAAGAAAUAUAGCUAUUUAUUACAAAUCGCCAAAAUGCUUUACUUAAAAAAGGAUAUUUAUUGCAUCCAACAAUGGAGGGUUUUUUGAGCAUCAUAUUCACGCUAGUUCAGGCCUCUCUACAAAAAGGAACGAUCUAGAGACAUUCUGGUACAUUGAGGACCGGAAGCCAAAAUGAUCAAUGCAAUGACUGGUAGAGCUUUUUUAGCCACUUGUGCAUUAAAAUAAGGUUUAGCCUAAGUCUCAAAAUAUCCAGAUUUCCUCAUGACAUUUUCUUCUAUAAAUACAAGAGUGCCUGGACUAAACAAAAGACACCCAAACAACCUACCAAUCGGACAAAAAGAAAACUCAAAAAUCAGCUCAGGCUAACCCAAGAAAUCAAAGAUCACAAGAUCUUACAAGCUACCGAAAGCAAACAAGCAAUCUUCCUCAAGAAGGAGUUCAUAUAACCAAGAGGAAACCAAGGUUUCCUUCGCAAAGCCAGAUAAGGUAAAAUCAGACAGAAUUCAAAAGAGAGUGAUCUCUCUUACAAAUUUGGUUCAGCAAAUUAAAUGAAACAAGUAGGAGUCAGGUAUUUCAUCAUAUGAAAACCUGAACAAAUUUUGCAAAGACAUCUAUAAAAUGUCUUAAAGUUGUCCAGAUAACUCAGAACCAACCAGAACAAGUCCUUGCCGACAGUUCUAAUCACUUUUAAAGGCCUCUCUAUGGCCCAACUUGUUCAUAGCUCUGCCAACAUGGAACUUGGUAUCAAAUCCCAGCUAAUCUCUUUUUGUUGGGGCUCUUGUGUCUGAAAGAGAGACUUCGUACAAAAUCAAAUGUACUUCUGCUUCUAUUGCUUGGGCUUUUUGUUUUUGUUUUUUUUUUUCGUGUGUGUGUGUGUGUCCGGGUUCUCAUUUCAGAUUUGAACUUCUUUUUUUUUUUUUUUUUUCCAGAUUAUUCCAGAAUUGCCUAGAGUUAUUGGAAGUAUAGCUUGGUGGCUGCUAGCUGUGAUUGAUUUAGGGGAUUUCCUUGAUUUAGGGGAUUUCCUUAAUUUAGGGGAUUUGAUCUUGUUGCUUGUAAUUAUAGUUUUUCUAUAAUUAGGGGUUAAAGUCAAGGUGGUGGUUGCUUGUAAUUAUAGUUUUCCUAUAAUUAGGGGUUAAAGUCAAGGUGGUGGUCCCUAGCUUAUACAUAUAUACGUGUGUAAUCCUGUAAACUAAAACACAAUGAGAAAACAUAUUCUCCCCAUCAUCAUAUUCUCUCCAUCAUUUUCCACAUGGUAUCAGAGCAGGAACCUUAACCGGCCUGUCUCCAUUUUUACCUUUCUUUCUUCUGUACAUGCUAUUCAAUAAUGGCAGAAGAUAAUCCUUUUGGCUUUGAAGCUAAAAGCUUCACAGUACCUCCUUCUAGUUUUCCAGAAGCUGAAGUCAACCCAAACCAGCGACUGUGCUCUGUGUUGUUAAAUGAGUUUAACUAUCUUCCAUGGUCUAGAGCAGUAACUCUUGCCCUUGGAGGAAGAUCCAAACUCGGAUUUGUUAAUGGAACCAUUGAGGCACCUGAAGAUUCGUCUCCGGAGUAUGAAGCAUGGCUGUGCAAAGACCAACUGGUCAUGUCGUGGCUCCUUAACUCCAUGGAUCCUAAGCUGUCUGAAAUCUUCAGUUUUUCAGAAUCCUCUCUUUCUCUUUGGAAGGCAGUCAAAGAUAUGUAUGGCAAUCAAAACAAUGCAGCUCGAGUGUUCCAACUUAAGAGGAAUCUUGCAAGUCUCCAACAAGGUGAUAAAUCCUUUGUUCAUCAUCUCGGUUGCAUGAAAAAUAUGUGGAACGAACUAAAUAUGUAUCGACCACAUACUAUCGAUGCUGCCAUACUGUUAAAGAGGUCUGAGGAAGACAAAAUUUUCCAUUUGCUUGCAAGUUUGGGGUCUGAAUAUGAAGAUCUUAGAAGCCAUAUUCUAAUGAACCCCGAACUUCCAUCAUUUGCAAGUAUUUGCACUACUAUCCAGCGAGAAGAAGUACGUAGGAAAGUCAUGAAUGUUGACAUCAAAUCUAGUGUGUCUGAGGCUAGAGCGUUUGUGACAAACCACAAGUCAUCUGGAGAUAGAGUGUACAAGGGAAAAAAGCCAGAUCUGAAGUGCUUACACUGCAAUAAUAUUGGACAUCUAAUAGAUCGAUGCUGGAUAUUACACCCUGAGUUGAAGCCAAAGUUUGAGAACAAGCCUUCAAGAGACUACAAGGGCUCACAAACCAGAUCACAUACAAACAAAAACCAUGCUACUGUUGCUGCUACAUCAAUUGAUGGGCUGACAAACUUCACAGCCAAUCCGGCUAACUUGAUAAAUGAAUUCUCUGCCUAUCUUCAAACCAAAAAAGGAAGCACAGGCGAAGUAUUGACUGCUGGAAAUCAAACUGCUCUCCUUGGGCAGUUUGCAGGACUCUUAGCUGAGUCUAAUCGUGUACCUCAAGGAGAUGUUCCAGGUAUUAUGUGUGCUCUUUCAACUGCUCUAAAUGUUAGUCAUUCUCAUGAUUUUUGGAUUAUAGACUCAGGUGCCACUGAUCACAUGACAAAUCAAUAUUCAAAGCUAUACAAUUUUGAAAGCUACACUACACCAUCACUAGUUUCUAUAGCAAAUGGUAGAGGUGUACCCGUUCUAGGUAGAGGGAAAGUUAAACUAAUUUCAGAUAAUGUUGAGUCCACAGCAUUAUAUGUUCCAUCCUUUCCUUUUCAAUUGUUGUCCGUAGGAAGGAUUACAAAUUCUCUCAACUGUCGUGCUAUUUUCUCCCCUCACAAUGUUGUUUUUCAGGAUCUAGCCACCAAGAAGCUGAUUGGUGAAGGUCGCUACCUAAAUGGGCUGUACUAUUUUUCAAAGAACCUUAAUGUUCCAAAAGGGUUCCAAGUCAGUUCAAAUCUAGAACAUCAGUUGUGGCACCAACGUCUAGCACAUCCCUCAGAAUUUGUUUUGUCUACUUUGUUCCCUAGAUUAUGCAAAUCCUCACUUGUAUGUGAAAUCUGUCAUUUGUCAAAAUUUACUCGACUUCCAUUUAAUUCUUCCAUAUCUAGAGCUAGCAAACUUUUUGAGAUGGUACACUCCAAUGUUUGGGGACCUGCACCUCUAGAGUCUUUUGAUGGUUAUAGGUACUACGUUACCUUUGUUGAUGAUUUUUCAAGAGUCACUUGGUUGUACCUCAUAAAAUUCAAAAGUGAAGUCAUGGAUGCUUUCAAGAAUUUUCAUAAUCUUGUCAUGAACCAUUUUUCGUCUCAAAUUCACAUACUAAGGUCUGAUAAUGGCACUGAAUAUACAUCCAAAAAUAUGACUAACUAUUUGAGCACACAUGGCAUUAUACAUCAAACAAGUUGUGUAGGUACUCCUCAGCAAAAUGGAAUUGCCGAAAGGAAGAAUAGGGAUCUACUUGAGAAAACCAGGGCUCUAAUGUUACAAAUGAAUGUGCCUAAGAGGUUUUGGUCUCAAGGAGUUCUUGCAGCUACCUACCUCAUCAACAGACUGCCUAGUCGGGUUCUGGAUUCAAAAUCACCAUAUGAGGUCAUGCAAAACAAAAAAAUUAACCUGUCCUAUCUGAGAAUUUUUGGAUGUACUUGUUAUGCUCAUAUCCAAUCCCAUCACCGAGACAAGCUAGAUCCCAAGGCAAUUAAGUGUGUUUUCAUGGGUUACUCAUCCACUCAAAAAGGUUACAAAUGUUACAAUCCAUGUUCCAGGAAGCUAUUUGUCUCAAGAGAUGUAAGGUUUGAUCAAAAUCGUCAGGGGGAGCACUUACUGGAUUUCUUUCCAUUACCAAAUCCAGCCGAAACAAGUGAUUGUGUUCAUUCAGUACCUCACACAGUGACUCUCAUGCAACCCAAUAUUGACAACGUGAUUAUUGGAGAUGAAACUGAAGCCUCCGAAGCACAAAUUGGAGAUAAAACUGAAGCCUCCGAAGCACAAGUUGUUCCUCAUGACAAUGACACAUCAUCUAUAGAAGAGAGUGGAGCUGAACCUACUGUGAUCCCAUCUCAACCUCGGAGGAAUCCAACUCGAGAUAGACAUCCACCAUCAAGGCUACAAGAUUAUGUAACGUUCAAUGUAAGGUACCCAAUUCACAAGUUUGUAAAUUACUCCAAAGUCUCUCACUCCCAUGCAGCUUUUCUCAGUAAAUUGUCAAAUGAAAGUGAACCAAGGAAUUUUCAAGAAGCCAAUCUUCAAGAUGUUUGGAGGCUAGCCAUGGAAGAAGAACUCAAGGCUUUGGAUGAAAAUAAAACCUGGAGUGUAGUCCAGCUUCCAAAGGGAAAGAAGGUGGUAGGCAGUAGGUGGAUCUACAAAACCAAAUUUAAUUCUGAUGGUUCAAUUGAAAGACACAAGGCAAGGUUGGUGGCUCGCGGUUUUACUCAAACAUUUGGAGUUGAUUAUAAGGAGACAUUUGCUCCUGUGGCUAAGAUGAGUACAGUGAGGGUUUUGUUAUCUGUUGCAGUUAAUCAUGAGUGGCCGUUGUACCAAAUGGAUGUAAAAAAUGCUUUUUUGCAUGGAGAUCUUGAAGAGGAAGUUUACAUGCAAUUACCUCCUGGUCAUCCACAAGCACAGAAUUCAAGUAUGGUUUGCAAGCUUCACAAAUCCAUUUAUGGAUUGAAACAAUCUCCACGUGCCUGGUAUGCCAAGCUGAGCUCUGUACUUGAAAAGUUUGGUUUCAAGAGAAGUCAUGCUGAUUCAUCCUUGUUUGUUCGAACUGGAUCAGUUGGCAAAUUAGUUGUUCUAAUCUAUGUUGAUGAUAUCAUCAUCACAGGUGAUAAUAUUGAUGAGAUUAACACUCUUAAGCAUUCUCUUCAUCAGAAAUUUGCCAUUAAAGACUUAGGAGUGUUAAAAUACUUCCUUGGGAUUGAAAUGGCUACUUCUCCCAAGGGACUGUUUUUAAGUCAACGGAAGUAUGUGAUUGACUUGCUUCAAGAAGUGAAGAUGAUAGAUUGCAAACCGGCCCGUACACCUCUUGAUAGCAAAUUGAAGUUGGACUUGGAAGGAGAGCCUCUCAGCGAUAUAAGUUACUACCAAAGACUGGUGGGUAAGCUUAUAUAUCUCACCAUUACUAGACCGGAUAUAACUUACGCCGUCAGUCUUGUAAGCCAAUUCAUGCAUGCACCCACUGAGGCUCAUUUAAAUGUUGUUAAAAGGAUUCUAAGAUACCUCAAGGGCUCCAUUGGUCGUGGAAUUAUCAUGAAAAACAAUGGUCAUACUCAAAUCAUGGCAUACACCGAUGCUGAAUGGGCAGGGAAUGCUAUUGAUAGAAAAUCCACUACAGGCUACUGCACAUUUGUUGGAGGAAACAUCGUGACAUGGAAGAGCAAAAAGCAAAAUGUAAUUGCUCGCUCAAGUGCCGAAGCUGAGUAUAGAGCAAUGGCUUCCACUGCAUGUGAACUCGUUUGGCUCAAGAGCCUUAUCUCAGACUUGGGUUUUUUGAGCAACAAACCUAUGUCUCUUUUUUGUGACAAUCAGGCAGCUAUGCAUAUUGCCGCCAAUCCCGUGUUCCAUGAACGGACCAAAUACAUUGAAGUUGACUGUCACUAUGUUCGUGAACAGGUUCAGUCCAAGGUAAUUCAAACCACAUUCACUCGGAGCCAUGAUCAACUUGCUGAUGUUUUCACCAAGUCUCUUGCUUCCACUCAGUUUCAACGCUUGCUCUCCAAGCUUGGAUCAAUUAAUCCCCUUGAUCCAGCUUGAGGGGGAGUAUUGGAAGUAUAGCUUGGUGGCUGCUAGCUGUGAUUGAUUUAGGGGAUUUCCUUGAUUUAGGGGAUUUCCUUAAUUUAGGGGAUUUGAUCUUGUUGCUUGUAAUUAUAGUUUUUCUAUAAUUAGGGGUUAAAGUCAAGGUGGUGGUUGCUUGUAAUUAUAGUUUUCCUAUAAUUAGGGGUUAAAGUCAAGGUGGUGGUCCCUAACUUAUACAUAUAUACGUGUGUAAUCCUGUAAACUAAAACACAAUGAGAAAACAUAUUCUCCCCAUCAUCAUAUUCUCUCCAUCAUUUUCCACAAGAGUCCGGUGGGUACUUCCUGAUUCUACUCUUUUUUUUUCCUGGGAAAUGAUAUUGUGGGGCUAAUUAGCUAACUGGAGUUAUGAUUUGGACUUAGGCCUCUGCUAUUUUGAGGAUCUCUUAGUUGGGUCAGGUCUCUAAAGCCUGUUUGAUUUGUAUUUCUAAUUCUGUGUAGUUGCUUCUGGGGUGCAUUGCCCUCCCCACCCCAGUUCACAAAGAAAAAAAGACAGUGUUGGUCUCUAGAAUUCGAUGAUGAAAAUUUUCCUCUUAGGCAGUCAAUGUUAGCCUUGGAAGUUCGCGUAAUUGCUUUUUGAAUGCUGUGUUUGAUAGUAAUUGCCUUUUUAAUACUGAUAUUAUAGUAAUCUUAAACUGCCAUUCUGUUGUACAUUGUCUACCUGUUUAUUUGUUUGUUUUCAAUUAGUUUUUCGGCAAUCAAGUAUUCAUUUAUACAUGAUUGUCUGCUUUCUUGUUAUUUUUUGUUUUGAUAGGAGAACCUUUUUAUUAAUGGUGAAGCAGUACCAUAUGAUCCCAAGUACUGUGACGAAUGGAUAAGAAACAAUAGCCGAGCAAACGAGAGAAACAGACGCUAAAUCAUCUAGAUGGGCAAAUACAACCUCAGAUUCUUUCAUUGAAAUACUUGUCAUUCCUCUCAAUUGGUUUGGUGGCCCUAGAUUGACCAAUAUCACAGGAGCAAUGAAAAUACUUACGUGUUGCACAAGCCUUCGCGCAUUCUUCCUUUCAGAAUCCUUUAUAGCUGCAUCGCUUUCAAGCUAACUAUAAGAAAUUCAAAAAAUUAGAUGCAAGUGGUUAUUGAUUACUGAUUACUUACUUUCGAUGGAUAUUGUAUUCAAACAAUAUUUGUAAUUAUAACGUAGUUUGGAAACAAAAACAUUAGUUGGUUGCUAAUCAUGGAGGUAACAAAGUAUUGAUGUUCCUCAUCACGUUUGAUAACCAAAGAUUACUGCCUUCUUAAUGUCCGGGAUUGACCAAGUGGUGAGCGAAGACGGAGAAAAUUGUUUAGGAUUGGAAUAGGUCAAAUUUUCGGUCCCUUGUAAUAUAGUCAAAAAUAUAAUUCAUGAAGCCAAUAGAGUUUAGUCUAAUGGAAAACGGCCUUGAUUUGUAAAUUAGUGGUCUUAAUUUCGAAAUUUCAUGUCAUCUUGACAGUAUGUGUAUGUAAAAAAACAAAAAGAAUAAAAACAAAAAAACAAAAAGUAUGUGUAUGUCAUCUUGACAGUAUUUAUAAAUCAGUGGUCUUUUGUAUAUAUAAAACAAAAGAAAAAACAAAAGAAAAAGAAAGAUACAAUUCAUGAAUAUAUCAGCUCCCAAUCCCUAUAAAACAAAAGAAAGUGUUACAAACUUACAAAAAGAAAUAUUUUGUUUUAUCAUUUAACGAAAUAUUAGCCCACCCUUUUGAAAAAAUUUAGUUCCACUCUUACACGUACCAUAGCUCAUAUAAGUGUUAUAAUAUGGAUGGAAAGUUGAUAUUUUCCCAUUUUAAGUACUACACUAUAAGAUAGAUAAUUAUCAUUCUUGCACCAAAAAGAAUAAAAAUAAGGAUUUGUUAUAACCCAAGGACUUAAAAGAAUUUCAUUUUACUUUUACUAAAAUUCAUGAGUUUAUAAUUGAAACAGACUAUAAACUAUAAGAAAGAGUUUGAGCAGUGGUGCAAGAACGCAGCCCAAGAGAGGGAUAAACGCACGAGAAGAUGGAACAGAGGGAUCAAAAGUGAGCAGUGGGCAACAAAAGAAAAAACAAACAAAAUAGAAAGUGGGAGAAAUUGACAAAAUAAACAGAACAAGGUGGUGGGGUCCACAUCUUUGGUCAUCAAUAUAUUUAGCAAGUAGUUGUUAAGUUGUUAACAUGGAGUUUGAGAAAAUAUUGCAGUAGUCGCCUUCUUGUAAAGAAUGACUAUCCUCCAAUUUUGAAUAUUCUUAGAAGAAUCAUCAACAAGAAAACAACUCUGAACAUGAAUAGGACGUCAAUGUAUAAUGUUGGAUCAGGCUUGACUGGCACUGUCACUCUCAGGCCAUAUCAAUCUGGCAAGAAAAAUAAACUUAUCAUCAUAAUGAAAGAAAACACCAAUGAGGGAAAGCACACGUCAAACGUGUGGAGAUAAGAUACUCAAAAGACAAAGAUGAGUCAUCAACAAGAAAAACAACUUUGAACUUGGACUUUGAGUCAUCAACAAGAAGAUGAGCUGGUAUCAGUUAUCAGCCGCCGACUUCUCAAUUCCAGUUUGAAUUGAACAAGGAUUCUGUUUCUCACUUUUAUCUUCUUUCUUUUUUCUGGGGAAGACAACUUGGAAAGAAAGACUAUCCUCCAAUUUUGAAUUUUCUUAGAAAAAUCAUCAACAAGAAAACAACUUUGAAUAUCUCUUAAGACCCAAUGAGGUCUUCUCUCUGGUUUCAUUAGUGGGAAUAUCUAUUCAAGCACACAAUUUGCAUUGUGGUUGUUGUUUGCCGACUUCUCAAUUUGUACUGAUGUUUGCAGCCCUUUCAGGCAUCAUUGCUCUUAUAUAUAUGUAAAUACAUGUGAGCAACGGCACAUACACAAAGCAACAUGUUAGUGCAAGCUUAUAACCUAAUGGCUCAUGGCUUCCUUCUCUUCCUCUUAUUCUCUUGCAUUAUAUCUACAAAUAUCCAUGCCUGCAAACAAACUGAACGCAGCUCCCUCCUGUCCUUUGCCUCCACUCUAUCUUCUCCUCCUUUAAAUUGGACAUCCCUUGAUUGUUGUCGUUGGAAGGGCAUCACUUGUGAUCAAGAUGGUUGGGUCACCCGUUUGCUCUUACCUUCCAAAGGGCUCAAAGGAGGUAUCUCUCCCUUUUCACUUGCAAAUCUCACCCAUCUCACCCACUUGAACCUUUCGCACAAUUC
rnacentral:lncRNA from 1 species